rnacentral:lncRNA from 1 species
GUCGGUAGAAAAAGUUGAUCAUUGAUCUGGAGAUACAAAAGUGGAGCUUUUGGCAUUUGUUGCUGAUUAAUUCAUGCCAUGAUUACUUGACAGAGGGAAACCAUUGGGCUGAUAAACUUCGACUAGCAGUAGGAAUUAUGAGGAGAAAUUGUUUAAUUUGAACGCAAACAACAGUUAUCGGUUUCAAAAUGCCAUACUUUUAACCGGAAUGAGUUUCUUCUUUGGCUGCUUCUCUGUCAAAUUACUUGCAUAUGCAUUGUUGACCUGUUAAGGAAAAUCAGCUCAAGUGGUUUUUUCUCUGAAAACAAGAAAAAUGAACAUAUGUGUUUAUUAGUUUGUUUGUAGAAGUUCAAUAGAAACAGUUCUAUUGCCUACGACUGUAGUUAUAGUCACUAGUUAGGCUGAUUUCGAGCAGACUGCUUAGUGUUGACCGUGCCAUGCAGAGUUUUGGAAGGGGCUGCUGGUGUUGUAAUUGUUUAGCCUAAUUUAUUGCAUCAUCUUAUCAGGGACAUGAGUAUUCUUUUUUUCUUUUAAUUGACAUUAGAUGUAUACACCUUUUAUGGAUAUGUUGUUAAGUCUCAAGGCACAUUCUUUCCUGUACACAGAUGAUUUUGUUGUAGUUUAUUUUAUAUCUGACACAGAGCUGAGCGACUUGUUUGUUUUACAUCUGACGGAGGUGUAAUAGUUUUAUGAUAGUGCUUACUACCUUUUUUAGUUACUUCAAAUAAUACCUUUUUCUGUUAACUGAUUAGCAUAGCCCUUUUGUAAAUAAUACCUUUUUUUGUUAACUGAUUAGCAUAGCCCUUUUUCUGUUAAUUUAAAUUAACUGAAACAUUUUCAGUUACUUCAAUUAAACAUGCAGUGUAGAGCUACUCAUUUGAUUCAUUUGAAAAUAUGAGUAAUUCUUUUUCAUUAACAGAAACUUCUCAUCUCUUUUCUUCUGUUUUCCUCUCUUCUCUUCUUCUCUUUGCUGCUGUUAAGUUAGGACUUGCUGCUGAUGAUUGCUGUUGUUAAACAUCAUGAUUGCUUAGUUUAGUGUAGGACUUGUUGCUGCUGCUGCUGUCAUAUUCAUAUUGUAUUUUCCAAAGUUGUUGAUCAAAGAAAUGGACUAAAUUAAAGCAUUCCCAGGAAUUGAUGCUGUUGUUAUUGGCCUGCUGCUGUUGUCAAACUGCUGUUGUCAUUAACCUGCUGUUGCUGCUGUUGUAGGAGAAGGAGCACGCCCAGGAGAAGGAGCAAGCCCAGGAGAAGGAGCAAGCCCAGGAGAAAAAGAACGAGCAGGAGAAGAAGGCCCUGGAUUGCUGCUGCUGGAGUGUCGAGGAUCUGGGAUCUGUGACGGCCCUGCACCGGCUCCUGCCCGCGGACGUCGCGCGGGUGGUGUGCGUCUGCCGUCUCUGGCGCGCCAUCGUCUCCGACCGCGCCGUGCUGGAAGUCGCCUUCCGCGCGCCCUGGGGCGUUCGCCGCGUCCUCGGCGACCCGGCCACCAAGGCCUUCUGGCGCGCUGCCUCCCUCGCCCGAUUCGCGCUCUCACGCGCCGUCCAUCACGGGGACACCAUCCCCGGCAUCGUGCUCAAGUAUUCUGUCCAGGUAUCAUCUGUCUAAUCCUUCCUCCCCGUUUGAAGCUCAUUCUUCGGGUGUUGUUGUUAGCUGAAUCCUAUCCGAGGCAACACCAACCGGUUAUUACUGAACUUGGCAGAUUCUGUAGUAUUAUCAGAGCCCACAAUAUUGAUGUGAUGUAUAAACAUGUGAAUUCAAAACAUUCUCUAUUUUCUUGCUGAAGAUUCAGGGCAGUGGCCUAUGUAUAUCAGUUAUCAAUUGGCUUGAUUUAGGCUGCUGAUAGUUAGUGUCUUAGUGACAGAAAUAACUCAAAAGCUGUACCUUUAGCUGUGCUGGCAAUCAAAUGUAUAGAAUUGUAACCGUGAAACUAGUUAUCAUUUAUUAUCGUAACCAGCAGAUCUCUCUAGUAAGCAGUAACUGGUAGUUCUCAUAAUCCAUCCCAUGGAUUACUGCCCCAACGUGUGUUCCAAGGGCUUUACCUGUUAGAAUUGAUGCUUGUUUCUACUAAGUUUUAGCUGUGAAUCUGUUGUGUCACCUGAAUCAUAUUCUGCAAUUGUGCAGCAAAAUCUGGCUCAGGCCCGGAAGGAGCACGAAGCUGCUGUAUUGGUGCUAUAGCAGAGAGAUGGGCCUCCUAGCAAAGCUUGCUGGGGCAUUUUCAGGGUUAGUUGCAAAGCUCCUUAUAGCAAUGCUUGCAGUAUUUGUUUUUGGUUAGGAGCAGGAAGCUGCUGUAUUGGUGCUGUAACACCCUUUUUCACAUAUACUAGAUACGGUUGAUGCCGUGAAGAAGUCAGCUCCCCUUGGAUGGUGCAGUGUAGCAAAUCAAUGUCGAUUCAUUCAUUCUUUGGUGAGUGCACACUACUAGCACAUUCUUUGCUGUGAUCAAGUGCGACUCAUAUCCAGUUGUUUGCUCACAUUAUUAUUUGAUUAUGCCAUGCCGCUGCCAUUGUUUUCUUAAUCAUGAUUUGCUCCAACCUGGCAUUGUGUUGUACAACUACUAGUACGUACUUCAAUUGCAUGCAUGCAUGUUUGCUGUUCCCUGAACUGUUUGCUGUUCUCUGAACUGUUUGACUGCCUGUAAUGCAUACGGCUCGUGUCUUGUUGCUCCCUGACCUGUUGUACUGUCCAUCUGUUCUGUUAACUUGCACUGUGUUGGUACUUAUCGUUUGCAAAAUAUAUCUCAGUUUUCGCUGUUAUGAGAAUGUUAUAUGCAUGGUUUCCUCUUAAAUCUAAAGUUAUGCAACAAAUUUUUCACUUGAUUAUGUUUCUAACUUUUCAUAAUUUAUUAUUUGCAGGUGCUGGCCUUCAUUCUUCAAAAGUUGGGUGUACAGGAGCUGUAGGAAGAAGAAUCCUGAAAAAAAACCACACCCAGAAUGCGUUUUGGCUCACUGGAGCUAGUUAUGUGUAUAUUUAGUUGCAUAUUAUAGCUGAAUACCAGAUUUUUACUAUGUACUUUGCUUGGUUGUUGUAAUAUACUAUCUCAGUUUUGGGUGUACAGGAUUGUAUUGUACUUUGUUUGGCUGUUGUAUGGAAUAUUAUGCCUUAUUGGCUCUUUUUGAAUUAAAUUAUCUAAUUGCAAAAAUAUAGAACUGACCUGUGGUAAUUGGUUCCCAUUUGACUAGUGGGACCUACUUUAAAAUUUAAAAGAAACAAAAGAAAACUGACAAAUGGGCAGAAAAAAGGCCGAGGCCCAAAAAAUCUGGACAAAAUAAAAGUUUGUUGGGCUUGGCCCAUGUAGUUGACCAAACUUGAAAGGAAAAAAACAAUAAAUGGGUUGAAUUAAUGGGCUUGGCCCAUAUAGACACCUAAUCGGACCGGGCUGAUUCUUGUCAACGACCUUUUCAUUUGGUCGCAAUUUUGCCAUGUCAGCUUGCCACGUCGGAUCCGAUGUGGCCUGGGCAGACAGUCAGUGACCAAAACAAAAGGUCAUGGGUUCAACGACCUUCUGUUUUGGUCGUAAACGUCUAUGACCUUCUCACAGAGAAGGUCGCUAAUUUCAGUUUACGACUGCCAGCUUUUGACCUUCUGUUUUUGGUCACAAAAAGGUCGCAAAUGAAAAACUAUGACCUUUCAGCGGCCAAUAGUGAGGGUCACAAGUUGACAUAUUUCUUGUAGUGUCCCCCCUAGAUGGGGAGAGGUUCUCCCUCUGGUCCUUGGCAUUCAUGGCGAUGAUGGCCCCUCCGGGAUCCUCCUCCACGGCCUCCGGUGAUGAUGGCCCCCUCCGGCAUCGUGGCUACAGAGGCUUGCGGCGGCGGAACUUCUGAUCUAGGUUUCUUUCUAGAAGUUUGGGUAUAUAUGAGAGCUGUUGGCAUCUAGAACAAGUCAGGGGGGUCUCUGGGAUGUCCAUGAGGCAAGGAGGCGCGCCCAGGGUGGGUGGGCGCGCCCCCCACCCUCGUGGGCAACCCGGGACUCUUCUGGCCCAACUCUUUGACUCCGCGGCCUUCUUCUAGUUCAAAAAUAAGCUCCGUCAAGUUUCAGGUCAAUUGGACUCCGUUUGGUUUUCCUUUUCUGCGAUAUUCUAAAACAAGGAAAAAGCAAACUGGCACUGGGCUCUAUGUUAAUAGGUUAGUCCCAAAAACCAUAUAAAAUAGCAUAUAAACGCAUAUAAAACAUCCAAGGUUGAUAAUAUAAUAGCAUGAAUACUUCAUAAAUUAUAGAUACGUUGGAGACGUAUCACACACCCACUUAGUUUCUUUUGUUCAGCUUUCAUAUAUUUAUAGCUCUAGUGCAUCCGUUGCAUGGAAAUCCCUACUCCUCACAUUGACAUCAAUUGAUGGGCAUCUCCAUAGCCUAUUGAUUAGCCGCGUCAAUAUGAGACUCUCUACCUUUUUGUCUUCUCACAUAACCCCCAUCAUUGUACUUUAUUCCACCCAUAGUGCUAUAUCCAUGGCUUGCGCUCAUGUAAUGCGUAAGGGUUGAAAAGGCUGAAGCGCGUUAAAAAGUAUGAACCAAUUGCUCGGCUUGUCAUCGGGGUUAUGCAUGAUGAGAACGUUUUGUGUGACGAAGUUGAAGCAUGGCCUAACUAUAUGAUUUUGUAGGGAUAAACUUUCUUUGGCUAUGUUAUUUUGAUAAGACAUAAUUGCUUGGUUAGCAUGUUUGAAGUAUUAUUGUUUUUAUGUCAACAUUAAACUUUUAUCUUGAAUCUUUCGGAUCUAAAUAUUCAUGCCACAACAAAAAGAAUUACGUUGAAAAUUAUGCUAAGUAGCAUUCGACAUCAAAAAUUCUGUUUUUAUCAUUUACCUACUCGAGGACGAGCAGGAAUUAAGCUUGGGGAUGCUUGAUACGUCUCCAACGUAUCUAUAAUUUUUGAUUGUUCCAUGCCAUUAUAUUAUCUGUUUUGGAUGUUCAAUGGGCUUUAUUAUACACUUUUAUAUUAUUUUUGGGACUAACCUAUUAACCGGAGGCCUAGCCCAAAUUGCUGUUUUUUUGCCUAUUUCAGUGUUUCGAAGGAAAGGAAUAUCAAACGGAGUCCAAACGGAAUGAAACCUUUGGGAACGUGAUUUUCGGAACAAACGUGAUCCAGAGGACUUGGAGUGGAUGUCAAGCAAUCAACGAGGAGGCCACGAGGCAGGGAGGUGUGCCUACCCCCCUGGGCGCGCCCCCACCCUCGUGGGCCCCUCGUAGCUCUCCUGACCGACCUCUUUCGCCAAUAUAUACUCAUAUUCCCUGGAAACAUCAGAACAGGAGCCGAAACCCUAUUUCCGCCGCCGCAACCUUCUGUACCCGUGAGAUCCCAUCUUGGGGCCUUUUCCGGCGCUCUGCCGGAGGGGGCAUUGAUCAUGGAGGGCUUCUAUAUCAACACCAUAGCCUCUCCGAUGAUGUGUGAAUAGUUUACCUCAGACCUUCGGGUCCAUAGUUAUUAGCUAGAUGGCUUCUUCUCUCUCUUUGGAUCUCAAUACAAAGUUCUCCUCGAUUCUCUUGGAGAUCUAUUCGAUGUAAUCUUCUUUUGCGGUGUGUCUAUCGAGAUCCGAUGAAUUGUGGGUUUAUGAUCAAGAUUAUCUAUGUACAAUAUUUGAAUCUCCUCUGAAUUCUUUUAUGUAUGAUUGGUUAUCUUUGCAAGUCUCUUCGAAUUAUCAGUUUGGUUUGGCUUACUAGAUUGAUCUUUCUUGCAAUGGGAGAAGUGCUUUGCUUUGGGUUCAAUCUUGCGGUGCUCGAUCCCAGUGACAGUAGGGCAAACGACACGUAUUGUAUUGUUGCCAUCGAGGAUAAAAAGAUGGGGUUUAUAUCAUAUUGCUUGAGUUUAUCCCUCUACAUCAUGUCAUCUUGCUUAAAGCGUUACUCUGUUCUUAUGAACUUAAUACUCUAGAUGCAUGCUGGAUAGCGGUCGAUGUGUGGAGUAAUAGUAGUAGAUGCAGGCAGGAGUCGGUCUACUCGUCGCGGACGUGAUGCCUAUAUACAUGAUCAUGCCUAGAUAUUCUCAUAACUAUGCUCAAUUCUAUCAAUUGCUCGACAGUAAUUUGUUCACCCACCGUAAUACUUAUGCUCUUGAGAGAAGCCACUAGUGAAACCUAUGGCCCCCGGGUCUAUUCUCCAUCAUAUUAAUCUCUUGUCAACUAGCUAUUUCUGGCGCUAUUUAUUUUGCAAUCUUUACUUUCACUCUUUAUCAUAAAAAUACCAAAAAUAUUAUCUUAUCAUCUCUAUCAGAUCUCACUUUUGCAUGUGGCCGUGAAGGGAUUGACAACCCCUUUAUCGCGUUGGUUGCAAGGUUCUUAUUUGUUUGUGUAGGUACGUGGGACUUGAGCGUGGUCUCCUACUGGAUUGAUACCUUGGUUCUCAAAAACUAAGGGAAAUACUUACGCUACUUUGCUGCAUCACCCUUUCCUCUUCAAGGGAAAAACCAACACAGUGCUCAAGAGGUAGCACCAGGCCUGCUGUAGAUGCUGCUGAUGACGUUCACAACGUCUGGGAGAGUAAAGUUGAUGACUACUCGAUAGUUCAGUGUGCCAUGCUUUACGGCUUAGAACCAGGACUUCAACGAUGUUCUGAACGUCAUGGAGCAUAUGAGAUGUUUCAGGAGUUGAAGUUAAUAUUUCAAGCAAAUGCCCAGAUUGAGAGAUAUGAAGUCUCCAAUAAGUUCUACAGCUGCAAGAUGGAGGAGAAUAGUUAUGUCAGUGAACAUAUACCCAGAAUGUCUGGGUACCACAACCACUUGACUCAACUGAGAGUGAAUCUUCCUGAUGAUAGUGUCAUUGACAGAGUUCUUCAAUCACUGCCACCAAGCUACAAAAGCUUCAUGAUGAACUAUAAUAUGCAAGGGAUGGAUAAGACAAUUCCCGAGCUCUUCGCAAUGCUAAAGGCUGCGGAGGUAGAAAUCAAGAAGGAGCAUCAAGUGUUGAUGGUCAACAAGACCACCAGUUUCAAGAAAAAGGGUAAAGGUAAGAAGGGGAACUUUAAGAAGAACGGCAAGCAAGUUGCUACUCAAGUGAAGAAGCCCAAGUCUGGACCUAAGCCUGAGACUGAGUGCUUCUACUACAAAGGGGCUGGUCACUGGAAGCGGAACUGCCCCAAGUAUUUGCGGAGAAGAAGGAUGGCAAGGUGAACAAAGGUAUAUGUGAUAUACAUGUUAUUGAUGUGUACCUUACUAAUGCUCGCAGUAGUGCCUGGGUAUUUGAUACCGGUUCUGUUGCUAAUAUUUGCAACUCGAAACAGUGACUACAGAUUAAGCGAAGAUUGGCUAAGGACGAGGUGACAAUGCGCGUGGGAAAUGGUUCCAAAGUCGAUGUGAUCGCCGUCGGCACGCUACCUCUACAUCUAUCUUCAGGAUUAGUUUUAGACCAGAAUAAUUGUUAUUUGGUGCCAGCGCUGAGCAUGAACAUUAUAUCCGGAUCUUGUUUGAUGCGAGACGGUUAUUCAUUUAAAUCAGAGAAUAAUGGUUGUUCUAUUUAUAUGAAUAAUAUCUUUUAUGGUCAUGCACCCUUGAUGAGUGGUCUAUUUUUACUAAAUCUCGAUAGUAGUGAUACACAUAUUCAUAGUAUUGAAGCCAAAAGAUAUAAGUUUAAUAAUGAUAGUGCAACUUAUUUGCGGCACUGCCGUUUGGGUCAUAUUGAUGUAAAGCGCAUGGAGAAACUCCAUACUGAUGGAGUUUUGGAAUAACUUGAUUAUGAAUCACUUGGUACUUGCGAACCAUGCCUCAUGGGCAAGAUGACUAAAACUCCGUUCGUCGGAACAAUGGAGCGAGCAACAGAUUUGUUGGAAAUAAUACAUACUGAUGUAUGCGGUCCGAUGAAUAUUGAGGACCGCGGCGGGUAUCGUUAUUUUCUGACCUUCACAGAUGAUUUAAGCAUAUAUGGGUAUAUCUACUUGAUGAAACAUAAGUCUGAAACAUUUGAAAAGUUUAAAGAAUUUCAGAGUGAAGUGGAAAAUCAUCGUAACAAGAAAAUAAAGUUUCUGCGAUCUGAUCGUGGAGGAGAAUAUUUGAGUUACGAGUUUGGUCUUCAUUUGAAACAAUGCGGAAUAGUUUCGCAACUCACGCCACCCGGAACACCACAGCGUAAUGGUGUGUCCGAACGUCGUAACCGCACUUUAUUAGAUAUGGUGCGAUCUAUGAUGUCUCUUACUGAUUUACCGCUAUCAUUUUGGGGUUAUGCUUUAGAGACGGCUGCAUUCACAUUAAAUAGGGCACCAUCUAAAUCUGUUGAGACGACACCUUAUGAACUCUGGUUUGGCAAGAAACCCAAGUUGUCGUUUCUUAAAGUUUGGGGCUGCGAUGCUUAUGUGAAAAAGCUUCAACCUGAUAAGCUCGAACCCAAAUCGGAGAAAUGUGUCUUCAUCGGAUACCCAAAGGAGACUGUUGGGUACACCUUCUAUCACAGGUCCGAAGGCAAGACAUUCGUUGCUAAGAAUGGAUCCUUUCUAGAGAAGGAGUUCUCUCGAAAGAAGUGAGUGGGACGAAAGUAGAACUUGAUGAGGUAACUAUACCUGCUCCCUUAUUGGAAAGUAGUUCAUCACAGAAAUCAGUUCCUGUGACUCCUACACCAAUUAGUGAGGAAGCUAAUGAUAGUUAUCAUGAAACUUCGGAUCAAGUUACUACUGAACCUCGUAGAUCAACCAGAGUAAGAUCCGCACCAGAGUGGUACGGUAAUCCUAUUCUAGACGUCAUGUUACUAGACCAUAACGAACCUACGAACUAUGAAAAAGCGAUGAUGAGCCCAUAUUCCGCAAAAUGGCGUGAGGCCAUGAAAUCUGAGAUGGGAUCCAUGUAUGAGAACAAAGUGUGGACUUUGGUUGACUUGCCCGAUGAUCGGCAAGCUAUCGAGAAUAAAUGGAUCUUCAAGAAGAAGACUGACGCUGACGGUAAUGUUACUGUCUACAAAGCUCGACUUGUUGCGAAAGGUUUUCGACAAGUUCAAGGAGUUGACUACGAUGAGACUUUCUCACCCGUAGCGAUGCUUAAGUCCGUCUGAAUCAUGUUAGCAAUUGCCGCAUUUUAUGAUUAUGAAAUUUGGCAAAUGGAUGUAAAAACUACAUUCCUGAAUGGAUUUCUGGAAGAAGAGUUGUAUAUGAUGCAACCAGAAGGUUUUAUCGAUCCAAAGGAUACUAAAAAAGUGUGCAAGCUCUACCGAUCCAUUUAUGGACUGGUGCAAACCUCUCAGAGUUGGAAUAAACGUUUUGAUAGUGUGACCAAAGCAUAUGGUUUUAUACAGACUUUUGGAGAAGCCUGUGUUUACAAGAAAGUGAGUGGGAGCUCUGUAGCAUUUCUAAUAUUAUAUGUGGAUGACAUAUUGCUGAUCGGAAAUGAUACAAUAUUUCUGGAUAGCAUAAAAGAAUACUUGAAUAAGAAUUUUUCAAUGAAAGACCUCGGUGAAGCUUCUUAUAUAUUGGGCAUCAAGAUCUAUAGAGAUAGAUCAAGACGCUUAAUUGGACUUUCACAAAGCACAUACCUUGAUAAGAUUUUGAAGAAGUUCAAAAUGGACCAGUCAAAGAAAGGGUUCUUUCCUGUAUUACAAGGUGUGAAGUUGAGUGAGACUCAGUGCCCGACCACUGCAGAAGAUAGAGAGAAAAUGAAAGUGAUUCCCUAUGCUUCAGCCAUAGGUUCUAUCAUGUAUGCAAUGUUGUGUACCAGACCUGACGUGUGCCUUGCUAUAAGUAUAGUAGGGAGGUACCAAAGUAAUCCAGGAAUGGAUCACUGGACAACGGUCAACAACAUCCUGAAAUAUCUGAAAAGGACUAAGGAUAUGUUUCUCGUUUAUGGAGGUGACAAAGAGCUCGUCGUAAAAGGUUACGUCGAUGCAAGCUUUGACACUGAUCCGGAUGACUCUAAGUCGAAAACCAGAUAAGUGUUUAUAUUGAACGGUGGAGCUGUCAGUUGGUACAGUUCUAAUCAAAGCGUCGUGGCGGGAUCUACGUGUGAAGUGGAAUACAUAGCUGCUUCGGAAGCAGCAAAUGAAGGAGUCUGGAUGAAGGAGUUCAUAUCCGAUCUAGGUGUCAUACCUAGUGCAUCGGGUCCAAUGAAAAUCUUUGUGACAAUACUGGAGCAAUUGCCUUGGCGAAGGAAUCCAGAUUUCACAAGAGAACCAAGCACAUCAAGAGACGCUUCAAUUCCAUCUGUCAUCAAGUGUCGGAAGGGGACAUAGAUAUUUGCAAGAUACAUACGGAUCUGAAUGUUGCAGAUGAAGGAAAUAUGCCCUAGAGGCAAUGAUAAAGUUGUUAUUUUAUAUUUCCUUAUAUCAUGAUAAAUGUUUAUUAUUCAUGCUAGAAUUGUAUUAACCAGAAACUUGAUACAUGUAUGGAUACAUAGACAAAACAAUGUGUCCCUAGAAAGCCUCUACUAGACUAGCUCGUUAAUCAAAGAUGGUUAAGUUUCCUAACCAUAGACAUGUGUUGUCAUUUGAUGAACGGGAUCACAUCAUUAGGAGAAUGAUGUGAUGGACAAGACCCAUCCGUUAGCUUAGCAUAAUGAUCGUUAAGUUUUAUUGCUAUUGCUUUCUUCAUGACUUAUACAUAUUCCUCCGACUAUGAGAUUAUGCAACUCCCAAAUACCGGAGGAACACCUUGUGUGCUAUCAAACGUCACAACAUAACUGGAUGAUUAUAAAUAUGCUCUACAGGUGUCUCCGAAGGUGUUUGUUGGGUUGGCAUAGAUCAAGAAUAGGAUUUGUCACUUCGUGUAUCGGAGAGGCAUCUCUGGGCCCUCUCGGUAAUGCACAUCACUAUAAGCCUUGCAAGCAACGUGACUAAUGAGUUAGUUGCAGGAUGAUGCAUUAUGGAACGAGUAAAGAGACUUGCCGGUAACGAGAUUGAACUAGGUAUGAGGAUACCGACGAUCGAAUCUCGGGCAAGUAACAUACCGAUGACAAAGGGAAUAACCUAUGUUGUCAUAAGGUUCGACCGAUAAAGAUCUUUGUAGAAUAUGUAGGAACCAAUAUGGGCAUCCAGGUUCCGCUAUUGGUUAUUGACCAAAGAGAUGUCUCGGUCAUGUCUACAUAGUUCUCGAACCCGUAGGGUCCGAACGCUUAACGUUCGUUGACGAUAUAUUAUUAUAUGAGUUAUGUAUGUUGGUGACCGAAUGUUGUUCGGAGUCCCAGAUGAGAUCACGGACAUGACGAGGAGCUCCGGAAUGGUCCGGAGGUAAAGAUUCAUAUAUUGGAUGAUAUGGUUAGGCCAAGGGGUCAUGCCCACGGGGCUAUAGGUCGGUGCAAAAGAUAGUUUUGCGGAGUUCAGAGGCCAAACGCCGAGGCCCACGGCGUCUGGGCCAGACGCCAAGGAUUGUGGCAUUUGGUCUUGGAGUCUGAGUGGGGCUCUUGCUUUUCGCUCUAUGUUUCGACCCCAGAGCUCAACAUAUAAAUAGAGGGGCAGGGCUAGCACCAAAGAAACAUCAAGAAACACCAAGCCGUGUACCGGCAAGCCCCGUCCCCUCUAGUUUAUCCUCCGUCAUAGUCUUCGUAGUGCUUAGGCGAAGCCCUGCGGAGAUUGUUCUUCACCAACACUGUCACCACGCCGUCGUGAUGCCGGAACUCAUCUACUACUUUGCCCGUCUUGCUGGAUCAAGAAGGCGAGGACGUCAUCGAGCUGAACGUGUGCUGAACGCGGAGGUGCCGUACGUUCGCUACUUGAUUGGGACGGAUCGUGAAGGUGUACGACUACAUCAACCGCGUUGAUAAACGCUUCCGCUUUGCGAUCUUCAAGGGUAUGAAGAUACACUCCCCCUCUCGUUGCUAUGCAUCUCCUAGUUAGGUCUAUGUUCCCCAAUAGUGGCAGCAGAGCCAGGUCUAUGCGUAGAUGUUAUAUGCACGAGUAGAACACAAAGAGUUGUGGGCGAUAAUAGUCAUACUGUUUAUCAGCGUGUCAUACAUUGAUUCAACGGUAUUGUUGGAUGAAGUGGCACAGACCGACAUUACAUGACCGCAUUCAUGAGACUGGUUCUACCACUGUGCUUCGCACACAGGUGGCUAGUGGGUGUUUAUUUCUCCAACUUUAGUUGAAUCGAGUGUGACUACGCCCGGUCCUUGUUGAAGGUUAAAACAACACACUUGACGAAAAAUCUUUGUGGUUUUGAUGCGUAGGUAAGAACGGUUCUUGCUAAGCCCGUAGCAGCCACGUAAAACUUGCAACAACAAAGUAGACGUCUAACUUGUUUUUGCAGGGCUUGCUGUGAUGUGAUAUGGUCAAGACGUGAUGAUAUAUAAUUUGUUGUAUGAGAUGAUCAUGUUUUGUAACAGUUAUCGGCAACUGGCAGGAGCCAUAUGGUUGUCGCUUUAUUGUAUGAAAUGCAAUCGCCAUGUAAUUGAUUUACUUUAUCACUAAGCGGUAGCGAUAGUCGUAGAAGCAAUAGUUGGCAAGACGACAACGAUGCUUCGAUGGAGACCAAGGUGUCAAGCCGGUGACAAUGGUGAUCAUGACGGUGCUUUGGAGAUGGAGAUCAAAGGCACAAAAUGAUGAUGGCCAUAUCAUAUCACUUACUUGAUUGCAUGUGGUAUUUAUGCAUCUUAUUUUGCUUAGUACCGCGGUAGCAUUAUAAGAUGAUCUCUCGCUAAAUUUCAAGGUAUAAGUGUUCUCCCUGAGUAUGCACUGUUGCGACAGUUCUUUGUGCUGAGACACCACGUGAUAAUCGGGGUGUGAUAAGCUCUACGUUCACAUACAACGGGUGCAAGCCAGUUUUGCACAUGCAGAAUACUCGUUCAAAAUUGACGAGCCUAGCAUAUGCAGAUAUGGCCUCGGAACACUGAGACCGGAAGGUCGAGCGUGAAUCAUAUAGUAGAUAUGAUCAACAUAGUGAUGUUCACCAUUGAAAACUACUCCAUCUCACGUGAUGAUCGGACAUGGUUUAGUUGAUACGGAUCACGUGAUCAUUUAGAUGACUAGAGGGAUGUCUAUCUAAGUGGGAAUUCUUAAGUAAUAUGAUUAAUUGAACUUUAAUUUAUCAUGAACUUAGUCCUGAUAGUAUUUGCAUAACUAAGUUGUAGAUCAAUAGCUCGCGAUGUAGCUCCCCGUUUAUUUUUGAUAUGUUCCUAGAGAAAAACUAUGUUGAAAGAUGAUAGUAGCAAUGAUGCGGACUAAGUCCGUGAUCUGAGGAUUAUCCUCAUUGCUGCACAGAAGAAUUAUGUCCUUGAUGCACCGCUAGGUGACACAACUAUUGCAGGAGCAGAUGCAGACGUUAUGAACGUUUGGCAAGCUCGGUAUGAUGACUACUUGAUAGUUUAGUGCACCAUGCUUUACGGCUUAGAACCGGGACUUCAAAAAUGUUUUGAAAUGUCAUGGAGCAUAUGAGAUGUUCCAAGAGCUGAAAUUGGUAUUUCAGACUCAUGCUCGAGUCGAGAGGUAUGAGACCUCUGACAAGUACUUUGCCUACAAGAUGGAGCAGAAUAGCUCAACCAGUGAGCAUGUGCUCAGAAUGUCUGAGUACUACAAUCGGUUGAAUCAAGUGGGAGUUAAUCUUCCACAUAAGAUAGUGAUGGACAGAGUUCUCUAGUCACUAUCACCAAGUUACUGAAACUUCGUGAUGAACUAUAAUAUGCAAGGGAUGACGAAAAUGAUUCCCCGAGCUCUUCGCAAUGCUGAAAUCGGCGAAGGUAGAAAUCAAGAAAAAGCAUCAAGUGUUGAUGGUUGACAAGACCACUAGUUUCUAGUAAAAGGGCAAGAGAAAGAAAGGAAACUUCAAGAACAAUGGCAAGCAAGUUGCCACUCCCAUGAAGAAGCCCAAGGCUAGACCCAAGCCUGAAACUGAGUGCUUCUACUACAAAGGAAACGGUCACUGGAAGUGGAACUACCCUAGAUACUUGGAGGAUAAGAAGCAUGGAAAAGUGAACAAAGGUAUAUUGGAUAUACAUGUUAUUGAUGUGUACUUUACUAGUGUUUAUAGCAACACCUAGGUAUUUGAUACUGGUUCAAUUGCUAAGAGUAGUAACUAGAAACGGGAGUUGCAAAAUAAACAGAGACUAGUUAAGGGCGAGGUGAUGAUGUGUGUUGGAAGUGAUUCCAAGGUUGAUAAGAUCACCAUCGCACACUCCCUUUACCUUCGGGAUUAGUGUUGAACCUAAAAUAAAUGUUAUUUGGUGUUUGCGUUGAGCAUGAAUAUGAUUGGAUCAUGUUUAUUGCAAUACAGUUAUUCAUUUAAGUCAAAGAACAAUUGUUGUUCUAUUUACAUGACUAAAACCUUCUACGGUCAUACACUCAAUAUAAAUGGUUUAUUGAAUCUCGAUCGUAGUGAUACACAUAUUCACAAUAUUGAUGCCAAAAGAUGCAAAGUUAAUAAUGAUAGUGCAACUUAUUUGUGGCACUGCCGUUUAGGACAUAUUGGUGUAAAGCGCAUGAAGAAACUCCAUGCUGAUGGGCUUUUGGAAUCACUUGAUUAUGAAUCACUUGAUGCUUGCGAACCAUGCCUCAUGGGCAAGAUGACUAAGACUCCGUUCUCCGGAACAAUGGAGCGAGCAACUGACUUAUUGGAAAUAAUACAUACUGAUGUAUACGGUCCGAUGAGUGUUGAGGCUCGCGGCUGGUAUCAUUAUUUUCUUACCUUCACAGAUGAUUUGAGCAGAUAUGGAUAUAUCUACUUGAUGAAACAUAAGUCAAACAUUUGAAAAGUUCAAAGAAUUUCAGAGUGAAGUGGAAAAUCAUCAUAACAAGAAAAUAAAGUUCCUACGAUCUGAUCGAGGAGACGAAUAUUUGAGUUACGAGUUUUGUCUUCAUUUAAAACAAUGUGGAAUAGUUUCACAAACUCAUGCCACCUGGAACACCACAGCAUAAUGGUGUGUCCGAAUGUCGUAACCGUACUUUAUUAGAUAUGGUGCGAUUUAUGAUGUCUCUUAUCGAUUUACCACUAUGAUUUUGGGGUAUGCAUUAGAGACAGCUGCAUUCAUGUUAAAUAGGGCACCAUCUAACUCCGUUGAGACGACACCAUAUGAACUGUGGUUUGGCAAGAAACCCAAGUUGCCAUUUAUGAAAGUUUGGGCCUGCGAUGCUUAUGUGAAAAAGCUUCAACCUGAUAAGCUCAAACCCAAAUCGGAGAAAUGUGUCUUCAUAUGAUACCCAAAAGAGACUGUUGGGUACACCUUCUAUCACAGAUCCGAAGGCAAGAUAUUCACUGCUAAGAAUGGAUACUUUCUAGAGAAGAAGUUUCUCUCGAAAGAAGUGAGUGAGAGGAAUGUAGAACUUGAUGAGGUAAUUGUACCUUCUCCCAAAUUGGAAAGUAGUUCAUCACAGAAAUCAGUUCCAGUGAUUCCUAAACCAAUUAGUGAGGAAGCUAAUGAUGAUGAUCAUGAAACUUCAGAUCAAGUUACUACCGAACCUCGUAGGUCAACCAGAGUAUGGUCCGCACCAGAGUGGUAUGGUAAUCCUUUCUGGAAGUCAUGUUACUAGACCAUGACGAACCUACGAACUAUGAGGAAGCGAUGAUGAGCCUAGAUUUCGUGCAAUGGCUUGAGGCCAUGAAAUCUGAGAUGGGAUCCAUGUAUGAGAACAAAGUAUAGACUUUGAUUGACUUGCCCGAUGAUCGGCGAGCCAUUGAGAAUAAAUGGAUCUUCAAGAGGAAGACAUACGCUGGUAGUAGUGUUACUAUCUACAAAGCUCGAAUUGUCGCAAAAAGUUUUCGACAAGUUCAAGGUGUUGGCUACGAUAAGAUUUUCGCACUCGUAGCGAUGCUUAAAGUCUGUCCGAAUCAUGUUAGCAAUUGCCACAUUUUAUGAAAACUGGCAAAUGAAUGUCAAAACUGCAUUCCUUAAUGGAUUUCUUAAAGAAGAAUUGUAUAUGAUGCAACAAGAAGGUUUUGUCAAUCCUAAAGGUGCUAACAAAGUGUGCAAGCUCCAGUGAUCCAUCUAUGGACUGGUGCAAGCAUCUCGGAGUUGGAAUAUACGCUUUGAUAAGUUGAUCAAUGCAUAUAAUUUUAUACAUACUUGUGGUGAAGCCUGUAUUUACAAGAAAGUGAGUGGGAGCACUACAGCCUUUCUAAUAAGUAUAUGUGAAUGACAUAUUGUUGAUCGCAAAUGAUGUAGAAUUUUCUAGAAAGCAUAAAGGAGUGUUUGAAAGGAGUUUUUCAAAGAAAGACCUCAGUAAAGCUACUUACAUAUUAGGCAUCAAGAUCUAUAAAGAUAGAUCAAGACGCUUGAUAAGACUUUCAAUGAGUACAUACCUUGAUAAAUUUUUGAAGAAGUUCAAAAUAGAUCAGUCAAAGAAGGAGUUCUUGCCUGAGUUGUAAGGUGUGAAGUUGAGUAAAGACUCAAAACCGACCACGGCAGAAAAUAGAAAGAUAAUGAAAAGUCAUUGCCUAUGCCUCAGCCAUAGGUUCUAUAAAGUAUGCUAUGUUGUGUACCAAACCUAUUGUGUAACUUGCCAUGAGUUUGGCAAGGGGGUAUGAUAUUGAUCCAGGAGUGGAUCACUUGACAGCGGUCAAAAUUAUCCUUAGAAGAUCAGGAGAUAUUUCUCGGUUAUGGAGGUGAUAAAGAGUUCGUCGUAAAGAGUUACACCGAUACAAGAUUUUACAUCGAUCCGGAUGACUCCGAGUCUCAAUCUGGAUACAUAUUGAAAGUGGGAGAAAUUAGCUAGAGUAGCUCCAUGCAGAGCAUUUUAGACAUAGAAAAUUUGCAAAAUACAUACGGCUCUGAAUGUGACAGACCCAUUGACUAAGCUUCUCUCACAAACAAAACAUGUUCACAACUUAGUACUCUUUGGGUGUUAAUCACAUAGCGAUAUGAACUAGAUUAUUAAUUCUAGUAAAACCCUUUCGGUAUUAGUCACAUGGCGAUGUGAACUAAUCACAUGGUGAUGUGAACUAUUGGUGUUAAAUCACAUGGCCAUGUGAAUUAGAUUAUUGACUCUAGUGCAAGUGGGAGACUGAAGGAAAUAUGCCAUGCAGGCAAUAAUAAAGUUGUUAUUUUAUAUUUUCUUAUAUCAUGAUAAAUGUUUAUUAUUCAUGCUAGAAUUGUAUUAACCAAAAACUUGAUACAUGUGUGGAUACAUAGACAAAACAAUGUGUCCCUAGAAAGCCUCUACUAGACUAGCUCGUUAAUCAAAGAUGGUUAAGUUUCCUAACCAUAGACAUGUGUUGUCAUUUGAUGAACGGGAUCACAUCAUUAGGAGAAUGAUGUGAUGGACAAGACCCAUCCGUUAGCUUAGCAUAAUGAUCGUUAAGUUUUAUUGCUAUUGCUUUCUUCAUGACUUAUACAUAUUCCUCUGACUAUGAGUUUAUGCAACUCCCGAAACCGGAGGAACACCUUGUGUGCAAUCAAACGUCACAACGUAACUGGGUGAUUAUAAAGAUGCGCUACAGGUGUCUCCGAAGGUGUUUGUUGGGUUGACAUAGAUCAAGAAUAGGAUUUGUCAUUUCGUGUAUCGGAGAGGUAUCUCUGGGCCCUCUCGGUAAUGCACAUCACUAUUAGCCUUGCAAGCAACGUGACUAAUGAGUUAGUUGCGGGAUGAUGCAUUACGGAACGAGUAAAGAGACUUGCCGGUAACAAGAUUGAACUAGGUAGGAGGAUACCGAUGAUCGAAUCUCGGGCAAGUAACAUACCGAUGACAAAGGGAAUAACGUAUGUUGUCAUAACGUUCGACCGAUAAAGAUCUUCGUAGAAUAUGUAGGAACCAAUAUGGGCAUCCAGGUUCCGCUAUUGGUUAUUGACCAGAGAGAUGUCUCGGUCAUGUCUACAUAGUUCUCGAACCCGUACGGUCCGCUCGCUUAACGUUCGUUGACGAUAUAGUAUUAUAUGUGUUAUGUAUGUUGGUGACCGAAUGUUGUUCGGAGUCCCGGAUGAGAUCACGGACAUGACGAGGAGCUCCGGGAUGGUCCAGAGGUAAAGAUUCAUAUAUUGGAUGAUAUGGUUAGGCCAAGGGGUCAGGCCCACGGGGCUAUAGGUCGGUGCAAAAGAUAGUUUUGCAGAGGUCAGAGGCCAAACACCGGAGACCCUGGCGUCUGGCCCUGGGCCAGACGCCUAGGCCCAUGGCGUCUGAGUGGGACUCUUGCCUUUUGGGCAAAACCGACUUUGAGGAGGCUUUUGCUCCAAGUUUCGACCCCAGGGCUCAACAUCUAAAUAGAGGGGCUGGGCUAGCACCAAAGAGACAUCAAGAAACACCAAGCCAUGUGCUGGCAACCCCGUCCCCUCUAGUUUAUCCUUCGUCAUAGUCUUCGUAGUGCUUAGGCGAAGCCCUGCGGAGAUUGUUCUUCACCAACACCGUCACCACGCCGUCGUGCUGCCAGAACUCAUCUACUACUUCGCCCGUCUUGCUGUAUCAAGAAGGCGAGGACGUCAUCGAGCUGAACGUGUGCUGAACGCGGAGGUGCCGUACGUUCGGUACUUGAUCGGGAUGGAUCGUGAAGGUGUACGACUACAUCAACCGCGUUGAUAAACGCUUCCGCUUUGCAAUCUUCAAGGGUAUGAAGAUACACUCCCCCUCUCGUUGCUAUGCAUCUCCUAGUUAGAUCUUGCAUGAUCGUAGGAAAUUUUUGAAUUACUACGUUCCCCAACAGCAGACCCGUUGACUAAGCCUCUCUCAUGAGCAAAACAUGAUCAGCACCAAGACUCCAUGGGUGUUAGAAUCAUCAUUAUGUAAUCUAGAUUAUUGACUCUAGUGCAAGUGGGAGACUGAAGGAAAUAUGCCCUAGAUGCAAUAAUAAAGUUGUUAUUUAUAUUUCCUUAUAUCAUGAUAUAUGUUUAUUAUUCAUGCUAGAAUUGUAUUAACCAGAAACUUAGUACAUGUGUGAAUACAUAGACAAACAGAGUGCCAAUAGUAUGCCUCUACUUGACUAGCUCGUUAAUAAAAGAUGGUUAAGUUUCCUAGCCAUAGACAUGAGUUGUCAUUUUUUUAACGGGAUCACAUCAUUAGAUAAUGAUGUGAUUGACAAGACCCAUCCGUUAGCUUAGCACGAUGAUCGUUUUAAUUUGUUGCUAUUGCUUUCUUCAUGACUUAUACAUGUUCCUAUGAUUCUGAGAUUAUGCAACUCCCGAAUACUGGAGGAACACUUAGUGUGCUAUCGAACGUCACAACGUAACUGGGUGAUUAUAAAGAUGCUCUAUAGGUGUCUCUGAUGGUGUUUGUUGAGUUGCCAUAGAUCGAGAUUAGGAUUUUUCACUCCGAUUGUCAGAGAGGUAUCUCUGGGCCCUCUCGGUAAUGCACAUCACUAUAAGCCUUGCAAGCAAUGUGACUAAUGAGUUACUUACAGGAUGAUGCAUUACGGAACGAGUAAAGAGACUUGCCAGUAACGAGAUUGAACUAGAUAUUGAGAUACCGACGAUCGAAUCUCGGGCAAGUAACAUACUGAUGACAAAGGGAACAACGUAUGUUGUUAUGCGGUUUGACCGAUGAAGAACUUCGUAGAAUAUGUAGGAACCAAUAUGAGCAUCCAAGUUCCGCUAUUGGUUAUUGACCGGAGAUGAGUCUCGGUCAUGUCUACGUAGUUCUCGGACCCGUAGGGUCCACACGCUUAACGUUCGAUGACGAUCGGUAUUAUGAGUUUAUGUGUUUUGAUGUACCGAAGGUUGUUCGGAGUCCCGGAUGUGAUCACGGACAUGAAGAGGAGUCUAGAAAUGGUCGAGACAUAAAGAUUGAUAUAUUGGACGAUGUUAUUCGGACACCGGAAGUGUUCCGGGUGGUUUCGAGUAAAACCAGAGUGAUGGAGGGGUUACCGGAACCCCCUGGGGAAAUUAAUGGGCCACCAUGGGCCUUAGUGGAGAGAUAGGAGGGCAGCCAGGGCAGGCCGCGCCCCCCCUUGGAGUCUGAAUAGGACAAGGGAAGGGGGCGGCGCCCCCCUUUCUUUCUCCCUCUCUCCCUCUCCUUCCUUCCCCCUCUCUUCCCUUGUUGGAAACCUACUAGGAAUAGGAUUCCUAGUAGGAAUCCUACUUGGGGCGCGCCCUAGGAGGGCCGACCGGCCUCCCCCUUUCUCCUUUAUAUACGGGGGUAGGGGGCACCUUAGAACACACAAGUUGACAGGUGUCUUAGCCGUGUGCGGUGCCCCCCUCCAUAGAUUUCCACCUCGGUCAUAUCGUUGUAGUGCUUAGGCGAAGCCCUGCGUCGGUAACUUCAUCAUCACCGUCAUCACGCCGUCGUGCUGACGAAACUCUCCCUCGGCCUUAGCUGGAUCUAGAGUUUGUGGGACGUCACCGAGCUGAACGUGUGCAGAUCGCGGAGGUACCGUACGUUCGGUGCUAGGAUCAAUCGGAUCAUGAAGACGUACGACUACAUCAACCGCAUUGUCAUAACGCUUCCGCUUUCGGUCUAGGAGGGUACAUGGACACACUCUCCCGCUUGUUGCUAUGCAUCACCUAGAUGGAUCUUGUGUGUGCGUAGGAAUUUUUUUGAAAUUACUGCGUUCCCCAACAAUCACAUCACAACAUGCCCUGCAAAAACAAGUUAGACGUCCUCUACUUUGUUGUUGCAAGUUUUACGUGGCUGCUAUGGGCUUAGCAAGAACCGUUCUUACCUACGCAUCAAAACCACAACGAUUUUUCGUCAAGUGUGCUGUUUUAACCUUCAACAAGGACCGGGCGUAGUCACACUCGAUUCAACUAAAGUUGGAGAAAUAGACACCCACUAGCCACCUGUGUGCGAAGUAUGGCGGUAGAACCAGUCUCAUGAACACGGUCAUGUAAUGUUGGUCUGGGCCGCUUCAUCCAACAAUACCGCCGAAUCAAAGUAUGACAUGCUGGUAAGCAGUAUGACUAUUAUGGCCCAUAACUCUUUGAGUUCUACUCGUGCAUAUAACAUCUACACAUAAACCUGGCUCUGAUGCCACUGUAGGGAAACACAUUAUUUCAAUUUUUUUUACCUAUGAUCACGCAAGAUCUAUCUAGGAGAUGCAUAGCAACGAGCGGGGAGAGUGUGUCCACAUACCCUCGUAGACCGAAAGCGGAAGCGUUUAGUAACACUGUUGAUGUAGUCGAACGUCUUCGCGAUCCAACCGAUCCAAGCACCGAACGUACGGCACCUCCGCGUUCAGCACACGUUCAGCUCGAUGACGUCCCUCGAUCUCUUGAUCCAGUUGAGGACGAGCGAAAGUUUCGUCAGCACGACGACGUGGCGACGGUGAUGAUGAAGUUACCGGCGCAAGGCUUCACCUAAGCACUACGACGAUAUGACCGAGGUCUGUAACUGUGGAGGGGGUACCGCACACGGCUAAGAUAAAUCUUGGAGUGUCUUUGGGCUGCCCCCUGCCCACGUAUAUAAAGGAGGGAGGAGGAGGAGGCCGGCCUAGGAGGGGCGCGCCUAUAGGGGGAGUCCAACUAGGAUUCCCAAUCCUAGUUGGAGUCCCCUUCCUUUUCCAAGAGGGGAGAGAAGGAAGGAGUAGGAGAGGGAGAAGGAAAGAGAGGGGGUGCCGCCCCCUCCCUAGACCAAUUCAGACUUGCCAUGGGGGGGCGCGUGGCCACCCCUUGAGGCCCUUCUCUCCUUCCCCGUAUGGCCCAUUAAGGCCCACUACUUCCUUCGGCGAAUUCCCGUAACUCUCCGGUACUCCGAAAAAUACCCGAAUCACUCAGAACAUUUCCGAUGUCCGAAUAUAGCCUUCCAAUAUAUCGAUCUUUACGUCUCGGCCAUUUCGAGACUCCUCGCCAUGUCCGUGAUCACAUCCGGGACUCCGAACUACCUUCGGUACAUCAAUACACAUAAACUCAUAAUACCGAUCGUCAUCGAACAUUAGGCGUGCGGACCCUACGGGUUCGAGAACUAUGUAGACAUGACCGAGACUCACUUCUGAUCAAUAACCAAUAGCAGAACCUGGAUGCUCAUAUUGGUUCCUACAUAUUCUACGAAGAUCUUUAUCGGUCAAACCGCAUAACAACAUACGUUGUUCCCUUUGUCAUCGGUAUGUUACUUGCCCGAGAUUCGAUCGUCGGUAUCAUCAUACCUAGUUCAAUCUCGUUACCGGCCAGUCUCUUUACUCGUUCCAUAAUGCAUCAUCCCGUAACUAACACAUUAGUCACAUUGCUUGCAAGGCUUAUAAUGAUGUGCAUUACCGAGAGGGCCCAGAGAUACCUCUCCGACAAUCGGAGUGACAAAUCCUAAUCUCGAUCUAUGCCAACUCAACAAACACCAUCGGAGACACCUGUAGAGCAUCUUUAUAGUCACUCAAUUACGUUGUGAUGUUUGAUAGCACACUAAGUGUUCCUUCGGUAUUCGGAAGUUGCAUAAUCUCAUAGUCAGAGGAACAUGUAUAAGUCAUGAAGAAAACAAUAGCAAUAAAACUCAACGAUCAUAAUGCUAAGCUAACGGAUGGGUCUUUGUCCAUCACAUCAUUCUCUAAUGAUGUGAUCCCGUUCAUCAAAUGACAACACAUGUCUAUGGUCAGGAAACAUAACCAUCUUUGAUUAACGAGCUAGUCAAGUAGAGGCAUACUAGAGACACUCUGUUUUGUCUAAGUAUUCACACAUGUGCUAAGUUUCCGGUUAAUACAAUUCUAGUAGGAAUAAUAAACAUUUAUCAUGAUAUAAGGAAAUAUAAACAACAACUUUAUUAUUGCCUCUAGGGCAUAUUUUCUUCACGAGAGCCCAUAUUAGAGGCUACCUAAUUAAACUCCUAGAGAUUGUAUAGAAAAAUUGAACUCCUGACUACCCAUAUUAGAGGGCACCUGCAGUCCGUCCCAAGUAAGCGUGUUGUGUGGCAGCCUGUGCUGCUCCUGUCAAGAGUAGGCGUGAACGGAGAGACAACGCAUAACAGUGACGCAAACUCAAGCGGGAGAUAGCAAUAUGGAGGGGCUCUGAAAACAGAGAGAUAAAUAUGGCGGCAAUCUGCUCCCGAUCCGGAAUCACGCCGCGCGAUGGCAUCCGGUCCAGAUCUUGGGGAGGCGUUGUUCUGCGGGAAGACAAAAAUAGGCAGCCGACCGAUCACCAGAUAUUACUUACUAUGAUUUGCUUUAACAAGGGGACAAAUAGUUUAAUUAGUGAUCAACUGACAAGAAUCUAAACAAUCUAUGACAUUCAUCUCCUAAGACACAUCCAACAGUUGUGAAGAAGCAGUUACAUGAGGGCGAGGAUUGGAACAAGGACUGGGAGAGGAUGAGGAACAUACCUAGUACAAAUCCAAUCUCACUUCCUUCUUUUUUCAUCAUUAAUUACCAACAUUGCCAUCAGGAACAUCUACAAAAUAUGUGUUCUCAAUUCCUGGAUAUCCCAUGAGAAAUAGCAGCAAUAAAAAAAGAUGAAACUGGACUUAAAUAGUUUGUUUAGUGUUGUAAAAAUUCAAUGUGUAUGUAAACAAAAGAACAGUACACAGGUAACGAACUACCAUUAAAAGAACCAGUUGUUGUACAAAAUAUAAUCAAUUAGGGUGUAAAAACAUCAUCGUGAACCUGCACCAAAUCCAGAAACUAAAGAACAUUAUCUAAAGAAGAAGACAUAUGUAACACAUGAAGAAUGUAAUCUUCUGGCAAUAACUACUAUCUGGCACACCAAAAUAACAUAGCCUGCUGCAGAACAAAUAAACAUGACUAUGUAGAGAGAGAGAGACCAUCUUUUUCUUCACCAAGCACUUCCUCAAGAUUCAUCCCCUUCUCCUUUUCUCUCAGACCUGCACACAUGUGUUUAGAAAAACCAUAAAUCGAGGAGUAAAAACUGGGGAAGAAAAUGAGACCUUGCUGCUCCUUGCCUCAUGGCUAUCCCUCUCAUCCAGAAGCACAACAACCUGCCAUGUUCUUCUCAAGAUCAAAAUAGUAGUAAUCAAAUUUCACAAAUAAAACAUCAACAAACAAUGGUUAAUUAGUAAAGAACCAAUUUUAUCUAUUGCAGCGACACAGAUUUCUUAGCUUGCGUACAACUCUUAUGUGAUAAGAAGUCAAUUCUGCUGGGUAGUAAGUACCUCGUGGAGAUGGUUGGCAUGGCGAAGCUAUAGGAGCCACCCAUCACGACGAGGAGGCGAGAUACGAAGAACAUUUGCAGUAAGGUGUUUAUGCCUGUGACGAACAAGAGCGUCUAAAUUUCCUGGUAUGUAUAUUGAAUGGCUAAAGUUUAUUCAAAUAUCAGGUAGGUACAUCCACAGUAGCACAACAAAUGAAGUAGUUGAAGGUGCGGUACGAUGUAGGCGGUUCAUCCUUGCUUUGUGAUACCAAAAGUUGUAGACAUAAAAUAAAAUUUAUCACACUGUGGGCUCUGAGUAAGAUAAAGAAAAGAAAAAAGGUGAACCUGGCAUCCGUGAUGCUCAUGAACUUUAUGAGUUCCAAUUAGCUUCCUGGUAUUUCUAUCAUAAUCAUUUGCCAAUAUAGAGACAUAUCACUGCAGAAGGUUUCUUCUUAAAAGGAAAAUUAAAGACACACUCCUUCGGUUGGAAUGAGUACAAGCUAGGUAUAUCACAGAUGCACCAUAAUAAUUUCAAAAGCGGUGAAAAAAUAUGCAUCCAACAUAGAACAUAGGUCCCUGUGUAUAAGGAAAAAAAGUAGUUUGCAUAUAAGGAUAUAAUGCAUGGACAAACAUAAUUGUGUGUUUGUGUGUGUGUGUGUGUGUGUCUCCAAUAAUUAUUCUAGUAACAUAAUCUAAUAAUUAGCAUAUUAACAACACUAUUGCUUGUAGGGUCCAAUCAGAAGCUCCCAAUUAUUUUAGUCUGCCAGGUAAUCUCUCUAUGUUGCAAUCUUCAAGCAUAUUUUGUAACCAACUUAUUUAUUGAUAAUGAGAAAGAAGAACUACCUGAGCAGCUGAGAGGAGGGCUUGUAUACACUAAAAUCCAAUCUUGUCCACUGAGGGGAUAUUCAGCAUACAUGUCCACUGAAGCUACAAUGCCAAUGAUCCGUUGUGAUACAGUUCCUGAAAUUUAUGAUACGGUAUAAAAUCAUUUUGGGUAGUAGGCAACCACACCAUAGCUGAAUCUAUCAGCAAGCAAAAGUCACAUUCCAAUUCUGAAGUAAGCAUACAAUUUCCAAGUCAAAUGCUAACAUACUGUAUGAACCGGAGAGAAUAGAUCUCAAUUGAUUAAAUAAGCAAUAGAUACAAAAUCUGUACUCUGAGGCUGAACUUACUUAGAAACUUAAUAACUAAAUUAUAUAUGUAAGCUAGUGCUCUCUCCCAUAAACUAUAUAUGAGCAUGUAUAUAACAUCACCCAUCUCACAACCCAUACUUAGUCUGCUCUCACUGGCAGUGCAGCAGGGAGCUUUGAUUACACACAUCUAUGUAGCUGCGCCGUCCCUACGAUAGAUUUGAGUCGCUAGCGCUGUUACCUGGAUGUCGUCCCACUGGAUCAAUCAAAGUUGCUCCCUCAUGCUUUCCCGUCUAGUAGAGUGGAACCUCAUGACGUCCACUGGUCUGCUAAUCAUUUGAUCAAACUGAACAUACGUACAGAGCUGAAUGGUUUAGUUCAUGGGUAGGCUCAGAUUGAAAAUUGGGUUCAGUAGUCCAAAACCAAAACUUUAAGAUGGUUGGGUUGAUAUAUUGUCGGUCAUGGAUUGGAGUGGGUUGGGUUGGUGUAUUUAACUUCACGGAUGGUAUAUGUGUAUGUAUUUUGGAUUGGAUUUAGUUUGGGUCUUGGAGCAUUCCUAUUCCCAUUCCCAGGUUUACAUUUGGAUGCUACAACCCAUGGAUUGGGGUUCAGUUUGAGCUGAAUAUGUACAGAACUGAAACGCGUAUGCAUGCAGAUACAGAAUGGGGGAAGAAGAGAAGAGGGGAGGGGUUGGUUACCUUGGGAGGAGCAGCCAUCCCCGUCGAGUCCAACGCCGUACCUCGCGCACCGGCAGCCUCUUCCUUUCUCAUCCUUCCUUCCUCCUAGGCAUGGCCCCAUCAAGCAGAAGGAAGGAGACACACGGCGGCUUGCUCUCGAUUUUGAGUCUAGUCCCAUGGCCGGAUCGGGGCGGAUGGAUCUGGGCGCCCUCCCGUCCCAUGGCCGGUCGCCGCCUGAUCUGCUUGUCAAUCUCCCUGCCUCUCUUCUCUUGUGGUGAGGGGAGAGGGGUGGGGAAGAGAGAGAGGGCGGAGGCCAUGAAAGGCUGGCUGCUCGCUGGCUCGUUGUUCCUCUCGCUACUCUCGCUCACUGCUCGGCGGCGGAGGCGACGGCGAGAAGAGGGACGAGGGUCCCGGCAGCGGCGGCGGCGGGACGAGGGUCGCGGGCGCGGGUCGAGAAGGAGAGAGAGGUGAGGCAGGAGGAAGAUGAAAGGGGGCGGCACGAGUGCGGGAGGAGGAGCGGCUAGGUCUUCUCCACAGUUCGAGCGGCUCCCUUUUAUACUCCGAUGCGUGAAAUGAUGAAAAUGCCCCCGGCGGGGCACUGAAUUAACAGGGGGUGGCAUGGGGGAGGUGGAACUAUUCGUAGCGAUUUAAAGGCGACGUGGAUGGCCUGGUUCUGCCUACGACUUCUUGAGGGUUUAUAUGUUCAUAUGGGAUGGCCUUAUCAGCCAAAAUUGGUGGCUUCACAUCUGGCUGCAUCACAUUCAAGUAGCAGCUCGAGGAGUCCGUCUUUGAUUGUUCGAUGCUUUUGUCAUUUUUAUAGGAGGGGUUUAAUGUGAUUUUCAAAAGGUUUUCGAUAAUUCUCCUAUCUUUCUAAUGCUAAUCCUUCAAGAAAGAAGAAAAGUUGUUUUUGUUGAAAAUAUGCUCUAGAGGCAAUAAUAUUGUAUUAUUAUAAUAAUAGUCCUCUCCUCCGGCGAUGAGGAGGACCAACCGCAGUAGCGGCCACGUUUACUCUCGGAGGCGGCUCUGACGAACGAAGAAUUCGUCCGUCAGAUGAAGGUCAUGAUGGAGCGCUAGCCCCGUCAGAUGGGUCCGGCGCCAGCGUUACCGGCGCGCGUGGAGGAGCCACCGUCCCCGCCAAGGGUCCGCAUUAAGCAGGAGCCGGCAUCCCCACGCCGGCAGGUGAAGGACGAGUCGGCGUCCCCGCCGUGCAACCGCGGCCUCCACAUUAGCGGGCGUGUGAAGCAGGAGCCGGCGUCCCCCCAGCGCCUCCCCCGUGUGAAAGAGAAGCGGCACAGCCGCUACGCGCGGAACGACGGGCCCUCUUCGCCACCAGGAUGCCAACGCCGCCCGAUGAAGGAGGAUUUGCCGCCCACGAUCGCCUAGGCGCGUGGCCGCAUCCUCCACUAUCUCGAAGGAGGCUGUUACGACGAUGCAUCCGACUCUCGUGCCGUGGUAUCCGAGGCCGAGCGCGCGGCGCGACGGUAGGCUAGGUACGUCCGACGCAAUGCCGAUCGCCGCUCCGAGUUUGCCAAGAUGGAUAUGUCGUCGGAGUGGGUCCGCAAUGACCCAGACCUCGCUGCCGCGUGGGCACUCGACUGCUCCGUCACCACCGUGGAAACGGCCGCCAGAUGUCGUCGCCGCCUUGACAGCGAGGACUGGUCGUUGAGCAACUACUCCAUCAACGCCGACAGGGACAAGGCCGCCGCUAGCGCCGUUGGCAGUGGCCAGGGAGGCCCUUCGCACCGCACAACAGGAGGCGGAGCAGGUCCGCCGCGACCGCCAGGCAGCCGCUGGAGGGACGACGAUGACGACGCUGACACAGACGCCGAUAGCGGUGCAGAAGGACAAGGCAGCCACACUUACGAGGUAGUUGUUCGAUAUAGGAUUUAGUGUUUUUAUAGCUUUUAGUAAAACGGUUGAAAUAUCAUAUGUUUAUGUGAAUUAUAAUAGAACUUGAAUGAAAUCCGUUCGGUUUGCAUGAUUUUCAUCCGCCUUUUGAAAAAAUGUUUGAAAUAUAUACUGCUAUGGUUGGAUGUCGUCCUCCCACAUUCGUGUCCGUAGAUUGAUCCUCUUGUCCACGGACGGAUGCGGAAGAAAACUUGCGGAUUGCCAUUGAAGAUGCCCUAAGCAUGCAGCCAAAACACCUCCUUCGUGUCAUAAAAGUACGUGUUAUAGUACACAUGCAUGCAAUAUCGUUAUCUCUCCCUCUUUUUAAAAGUUCAUCCAUUUGUUUUCUCUUUGAUAAUUCCAACCAAUCGUAUCUUUAAAAUAAUUCUUUAUUUUUGAAACUUUUUAUAUAUUUGAAAUCCCGGUGGUGAGACCUUUUAGAACAAGGUCAAUCUUGGAUACAUUUCGAACAUGUUUAAAAUUUGACAUUUCACAUUCCUACGUGAAAUAAACCUAUUUCACUAGAAAAAUGAAAAAAAAAACCAUUUCAGUUGAAAGAUGUGAAAUCAACCUAUUUGUCCCAAAUAUGGAACUGAAAUGUCAAUUUCUAAAACUAAUAUUUGGAAUGUGUAAUAGUUUAUUUCAAAAGAGUGAAAUAUGCUAUUUCAAAAACCUGCAAUUGAAAUAGAUGUGAUUUUUGGGAAACAAACCAGUCAAAAGUACCUUCUGAAAGUGAAAAAAAAAGUGAAACUAAUUAUUUUGAAAUAUGUAACGGUUAAUUUCAAAAUAUUGAAAUAUGCUAUUCCAAAAAUAUGAAAUUGAAAUAGAUGUGAUUUUUGUGAAACAGGUAAGUGAAAAGUGGAAUGUACCUUCUGAAAGUGAAAACAAGGUGACACUAAAAUGUCAACUUUGUGAAACUGAUUAUUUGCAAAUGUGUAACAAUUUAUUUCAAAAGAGUGAAAUAUGUUAAUUAAAAAAAUGUGCAACCACGGCGUCCAAAUCGGACGUCGCGUCAACGAGGAGCGGCUGUCGCCGCCUCCCCAGCAGCUCGUCCUCCCGGAGCGCCAUUACGGCGCAAGAGUGCGCGGACAGGGAGCGGUGAUGCCGGUACAGGCACAAUGCCGCGCGCCAGGCGGAGUUCACAGACUCCAACGUUCCACCGCCAGAUAUCCUCGCGGACCCGGAGCUCGCAACAACAUGGGCCCUCGACCGGUCCAAAACCACGGUGGAGACGAGCAAGCGGCGUCUCCGCCGUCUCGAAUAGGAGAUGGUGAAGUACAACCGGGAGUGGUGUUUCCGCGAGUCCACCGCCAUCACCACCUCCUUCAACUACUGCCACCUGUCUCUCCCCCAGCUCAAGUUUGCAGUGGCCGCAGCCGCACUGCCCGCAUCGCAGGAGCAAGCCGAGAAGAUCAUCCAUGAGCACCGGAGAGCGACAACAACAGGGAAGCCCUGCCGUGAUCCCACGCCUUACCAUCGCCCGAAGCCUGACUCCAACGAUGGUGACGGGUGCCGCCGGCUAGCAUGGCAGGGCGUACGAGGUCCCCGUCAAGUAUAGGGUAGUUUAGGUUUUUCUAUGGAUUACCGGUCGAAAUGUCGCCCGGUUUUAUGUAAAAAUUACCCGAGUUUCAAUGAAAAUAUCCGGUUGUUAAAAUUAGCAUCAAAUUUAUUUACUUUCAUUAAAUUUUGUUUCAAAUGUGGCCGGACAUUUGCGGCUAGUUUUGGAUGCCUGGCUCCAGCAUCGCUAUCCCUGUACUAGUUCCCUUCCGCGGAAGGAUACAGACGUCCGGUUGGAAGGUCAGCGUUGGAGAUGCCCUUAUUCCUUCAAAUUUGUAUCUAUAUCUACUAGCAAAAGAGCCCGUGCGUUGCAACGGGAGAGAAAACAUAACACACGCUCUUAACUCAACAACCAUCACUCAAGACCACAAUAGGUCCAUCUCCUUUAUUUUUGCGAGGCAUCAUAUUUGUGUUGCCGCUUAUCCUACUUCUCACCCUCGCCGACGAUGGCCUCGGUGUUCACACAAAACAACAAAAAAUGUGUGUUAAAUAUGGUUAAUCCUAAGGCGUCUCUCUCCCCCUCUCUCCUCCCUCUCCCUCUCUCUCUCUCUCACUCUCGCGAUGAGAAAUCUGUUGUUUUCCCCUGCGACAUUUUUUAGAGGUAUGCAUGUGUAGUUAUCGAUGUUUUCUUUUCCGUAUAUGGUUAUAGUGGGGUGUUUAUUUGCAAUCCGGAUCGCCACCGGUAUGAAAAAAAAAGGAUCUUGCGCUAUAAAUUAUAAGUUUGCUUCCAUAACAAUAUUUUAAAAAUAUUUAACAGGUAAAAUUAACAUCAUAUUUAGAUUCCACACAUUUUUCUAAUAAAAUUUCAUAUAUAAUAUGUUAAAAUCGAAGUUACGGUUUAAAAGAUACAGAUAAUUUAGAAAAUCAUUUGGUUUGACUCAAAUAUAUUUCUAAAUAAUAUUUAAAAAUACUUAACAGGUAAAAAUAAUCUCAUAUUCAUAUUCUACAAAUUUUUCUAAUCAAAUUUCAUAUAUAACAUGUUCAAAUCGGAGUUACGGUUUAAAAGAUAUGAAUGAUUUUAAAAAGCGUUUGUUUGACUUAAAUAUGAUCCGCCGAUGAAUUACCUAAACCAUCAGGGGGGGUUUUCGAAAAAUGUAAAAUAACGGUUCGGGUGUGACUUGAUUCCGGACGGCGGGUUGAUUUCAAGAAAAGAUAGGGACUUUUCUGAAAAAUGCCAUGACGGACGAAAGAAACCCAAUUUGCUUUAUUAUUAGGUAAAGAUACCUAUCUGUUUUUGCAUGGUAAUACGUGUCUCAUUUAUAUAGAAUAAAGAUCAAGUUACAAGGCACGUAAGCACCGAUCAUACAUGACUGGAAAGAUAGGAAAAUCCUAUGUAAAAUACCAGCGCCUGUUCCUUUCCUUCGAUACCACCGAAGCGGCCACCAAAGGGUAAAAAGACAGAUCACCUCUUCGCCCAAGUUCGACGCGGCUCCAUCGCUGAUCAGCAGCUUUACGGACCUCCAAAGUAGUUUGCCAAAAGCAAAAUCAUAGCCGUUGAAAGAAUCAGACCGGGGCAACAUGUCCCCGGACACGCCAUCGAACUUCAGAACUGACACCCUCGCAUGACGACGACGUCGGAGAAGGAAACCAGAACUGCCCGCCUUCGACCACAGACCCAACACAAGAUACUCCAUCUUCCAGCUGUCACUUGCGUAGACAACCGCCUCCGCGUACUCCUGAACGACGAAACCUCCCUGCUCCACCAUGACGUCGGAGACAACGCCACAGCAACGGGGACAGAGCAGAAGGAGAGACACACCUGAUGGAGUCGCCGCCGCCGCCUCAUCAACACCAUCCAUGAACCCUAACGCUGUCGAUCUAAGGGAUCGACAGAGACACGAUGCCAUCAACUCUGAGACGCCGCCAUGAAGGACACCGCCGGUGUGGGAGUGGGGUUGAGGCAGAUUUAUUCGUCCGGGCGCCGCUCCCAUCACCCCAACGACGCACCACGACCUACAAAUCCAAAACCUAACUACAGAGCGGAGGAACGGGGUCCCUCCUCCCUCCUGCCGCCGGAGCAGCGGCCGAAGGGAGAGGGGGCCAGCGCACCGGCCGAUGGAGAUCGGAGGAAAAGAGUCGCCUCGCCCUAGUCGCCUGGUGGCGGCGGCGGCUAGGGUAGGAAAGGAUAGCAAGCUGUAUCGCCAACGCCCUGAAAAGACUGGUGGUUAAUAAAGGGGCUAUUGCUUCUUAUCACCGUAACUUCGUCCGUUUUUCCGUCUGUCUAUUGCCUUGGUUUGGUACGUCAAUUUUCGUCCGUCACGCUGCUCGUAAGCUUCAUCCUCGAUACAACUUUGCGUACAGGCUGGGCCAAAUCGCCUUACUGGGCCUUGGCCCGAAAUCGGCCCAGGCCAAAAAUAUGACGCAAAACAAAUGUCUUCAUGUGGGAUCGAACUCCCUACGUUGCACGUCGAGGCAUAAGGCUGCAACCAAAAGAACUAGAGCAUCUGGAUGAAAACAAAAGGUUUGUUCUUUAUAAAUUAGUACCACCUCGCUGCUUUAUGAUCCGUUCGACGGAUUUGUAUAUGUUUCCGAUUCAAAAUCAAUAAGCAACCUGGAGAAUUAAUGGGCAUAAAUAAGGAAAAAUAGUGGCGUGAUUAGCGGGCAUAAAAUAUGGAAAGAGAGUUUCGCAAAAAGAAAAAGGAAGGAGAGGAUAAUGACCAUAUAAUACCAGCGUGUGAUCCUUGGGCAAAAAUAAGGAAGGUGAGCUCCUAAAAAAAAGGAGAGAACAACCUUGCAAAGAUAUUACGUGGGCUUAAAUAAGGAAGGAGAGUUGCUUUAAAAAAGAAGGAGGUAAUAAUGUUGCAAAGGAAUUAUAAUACAAGCGCAUGAUCAAUAUACAUAAAUAAGGAAGGAGAGUUUAAGAAGAAAGAAAUGCCUUUAAGAUUUGAAAAUUAGGGGGGGUCCUUUAGGGUCAGAAUUAUCGUACAAAAAUUGUAUCAAAAGUAUUGUAUGUGUAAAAAAAGUGUAUGUGUUGGGAUUGUUUGUUCAAAUGCGGAGGAAUUAUAAUUCAUUAUUUCUAAUGUACUGGAGAUGGUCUAACAGAACCAUUUUAGCGAGAUUUUUUUCAUGACAACUUACAAAUAACGCCUUUAAGAUUUUAAAAUUAGGGAGCCUUUUAAGAUUAGAAUCGUCGUACAAAAAUCGUAUCAAAAGCAUUGUAUCUGUAGCAUGCAUCUUAAUGUAGAAUUGAGAAAAGACUUCCUCGCCUGCGAGCGUUGCAACGCUCUGCAACACAUCUGGGGACGAGGCCACGUAAAUCUCUCCUCACCCUAAUUAAUUUCUCUCCCGGGUGAAUUCAAGAGUGGGCCCACACUAACUAAUCACCCCCCAAUUCAACUAUGGGGCCCACACUAACUAAUUUCACCCACCUGAAUUCGCGUGAAUUAGCCACGCCCGUUGCACGUCUUCCUGUCGUUGCUGGGUGGCACCAUUCGUAUAUUGUUGGGCCUUUUGAUGGAUACAUCAUUAUAUUUCCAGUUGCAACGCACGGGCAUAUGUGCUAGUUGAAAUAAAAAGACAAUAGAUACCAGAUAAUAUUAUAAUUUUGAACGGCAAAUGUCGGCAAAAUACUAGUAAAUAACCUCAAAAGAAGUGGUUGAACAAGUCAACAAGCACACAAGCAGAUAGGCAAACCAUUCAAAGCAUAUUUGCGUCUUGAACUGCGACUAUAUAAGUGAACGAGAUCUACUACUGCUUCCACAUGAGAGUUGGAUGGUAAGCUGCUUUCAGCUGAUCAAAACUACGGGUUGCCACGGCUGCUUCAAGAUUACACGGAUCAGCGAGGAAGUGCAUGCAAGCCUCCUUAAGCACGCGGCAACAAUGCUGCUCAGCAAACGCCAGUGUGGCGCCGACCGAAAACAUAUUGAUGUGCCCGCACAACGCCUCCUCGCAGAUCAACUUCAGCCUGUCCAGCUUGUACCUGUCCGCCGCCACGAGCAGCGGCUUCGCCAUCGUCGCCAACGUCUCUCGCUUCGCCAUCUCUUCCGGCAGCGCGUCCGUGUAGAUGAAGUGGAGCAGCGCCUUGAACACCCCGGCAUCAGUUCCGUCCACACGUAUCCUCGUCGCUGCAGGCGACCGGAGCAGCUCAGCCAUGAAGAUAGGAGACACGGCAGCGAGCAUCCACCUGUGCGCCGGGAAGGUCUCCCCGCCGACCUCGAUCCGAAAGGAUGGUUUUCGGUUUGCGUUUUUUCUGGCCCCUGAACGAGAUGGCCGAAAUUCGGCCAUUUUAAAAAUUUCGGUAAAAUCUCGGACGAAAUUACAGAACCAAAAUUUGAAUUUUAAACAAAAUUUGACUAAAAAUUGGCCAAAAUUCGGCUAAAUUUUUUGAAAUCAAGCAGAGCAAAAAGUAUAGCAGUCGAACAACACUUAGGAGUACGUAUAUACGUUUACCAAACUAGCUUUGGGGAUUGAAAACUCCAAAAGAAAAGAUUGAGGGCGAUGCUAGGCGCCGGCGCACCAGCCGAACGCUUCGGCCGGUCCAACCCUAGCCGUCCGAUCGGCCCGUCCCGAUCCGUUGGAUCCAAUCAGGUCCUUCUCUUCCUCCCCGUCUNNNNNNNNNNNNNNNNNNNNNNNNNNNNNNNNNNNNNNNNNNNNNNNNNNNNNNNNNNNNNNNNNNNNNNNNNNNNNNNNNNNNNNNNNNNNNNNNNNNNNNNNNNNNNNNNNNNNNNNNNNNNNNNNNNNNNNNNNNNNNNNNNNNNNNNNNNNNNNNNNNNNNNNNNNNNNNNNNNNNNNNNNNNNNNNNNNNNNNNNNNNNNNNNNNNNNNNNNNNNNNNNNNNNNNNNNNNNNNNNNNNNNNNNNNNNNNNNNNNNNNNNNNNNNNNNNNNNNNNNNNNNNNNNNNNNNNNNNNNNNNNNNNNNNNNNNNNNNNNNNNNNNNNNNNNNNNNNNNNNNNNNNNNNNNNNNNNNNNNNNNNNNNNNNNNNNNNNNNCUUCGCCUGCCCUCCGGUGGUCGCCUGUCCCCACCCUCGCCAGUCUUCCUCGUCGUCGCCGGACCCCGCCCUCGCCGCCCGUCCUCGUCGCCGGUCCCCGCCCUCGCCGCCCGUCCUCGUCGCCGGUCCCCGCCCUCGCCGGCUGUCCUCGUCGCCAGUCUUGAAGCACACCGGCACCCCUUGUCGUCGCAGCGCCUAGCAGCCGCCACCGUCGCUGCACUGUCGUGUCGCCGACGCAGCUCUCAACGUCGCUGCUCGCUGCCAUUGGCGAGUCAGGUUGAAGCUUUUUAUCUCAUCGGUUGAAGCUUUUCUCUAUGCCUGAUGAAGCUUUUCUCGCGGAUUGAAGCUUUCCACCGUGCCAAAUGAAGCUUUUUUCACCCGAGCUUGAAGCUUUUUUCACAAAAGGGUUGCAAGCUUUUUACUCUGCGGUUGCAACAAAAACACAGAGAUACGCCAUGGUCGUCGUCGAAGGAGGAUUUUCUCAAUCUCUUUUUGAAGCUUUUUCAUCUGCGGGUUGAAGCUUUUUGUCAAAACGGUUAUAACUUUUCCUGUAUUUCGUUGUCUGGUUGAAGCUUUUUUAUCUACUGGAUGUAGCAAAAACCUCCAACGGUAGUAGCAAAAAGCCAGCUACGGUUGCAGCAAAAAAAUCAUUGUCGUCCUCGCAAGGUCGUAGCUCUGCCUGAUGGAUGUAGCAAAAAGCUUUGCCAGUAGUAGCAAAAUCCAACAACGGUUGCAGCUUUCCCUUUUUGUGUAGUGCCAUUGAAGCUUUCUAUGUCUAUGGUUGAAGCUUUUUUCAACGGGUGUUGAAGCUUUUUUAGGUGACGGUUGCAACACUUGUAUACGCGGGAGGAUCCGGGCGUGGCUGCAGGCAGCCAUGGCGGCCGGCAAGGGAGCGCUUCACCGGCUGCGACCCCGUGAUGACGAUGACGCCGUUUUGCUGCAACCGUAGUAGAUUUUUGCUACCACCGGCGAUUGAAUUCGCUACAACCGGUUCCAGCAAAAAUUCACCGUGAGGGGUAGUCUGCCAUGGCUGGUUGCAGGUCCGGCGAGGUAGGCAGAGCUCCGAUGCAUGCGAGGGAGUCGUCGCCGUGGUAGCACCCCGUAGCACCGGUUGCAGCAUCUCCCGUUGUCACCGCCCCUCGGUCGUCGGCGAGAUGGGAUGGUCGCGGGCGAGCUUCGAGNNNNNNNNNNNNNNNNNNNNNNNNNNNNNNNNNNNNNNNNNNNNNNNNNNNNNNNNNNNNNNNNNNNNNNNNNNNNNNNNNNNNNNNNNNNNNNNNNNNNNNNNNNNNNNNNNNNNNNNNNNNNNNNNNNNNNNNNNNNNNNNNNNNNNNNNNNNNNNNNNNNNNNNNNNNNNNNNNNNNNNNNNNNNNNNNNNNNNNNNNNNNNNNNNNNNNNNNNNNNNNNNNNNNNNNNNNNNNNNNNNNNNNNNNNNNNNNNNNNNNNNNNNNNNNNNNNNNNNNNNNNNNNNNNNNNNNNNNNNNNNNNNNNNNNNNNNNNNNNNNNNNNNNNNNNNNNNNNNNNNNNNNNNNNNNNNNNNNNNNNNNNNNGGGAAGGAGAGGGCAGAAGAAGAGGGCGGCGCGGCGCGAGGAAGAGGAAGAGGAACAAGGGGAUCGGGAGGAGCGCGAGCGUAUGAUGCGCUGCGCGUCGCUUCGAUCGAGUGGCCCGCGUGGGACCGGCGGAACAGUUCGGCCGGUGCGCCGUUCCUAAACACUUCCCUUGAAACAAGGAUACAGAGAGGUGCUCCAGAGUUGAGGAGUUCCCGAUGGAUUUAGCCGCAGCCCGCAGCCGGCAGAGGUCGGCAACAGGGGCCGGGUCGUAGGAACGGCGCGACUGGGGCAGGAGCGGCUUGCUCGAGCGGGGAGGCAAGCGCCGACGAGUGGAGGAGCCGCGUACAGGCGCAUCGCCGCCGCCGCAAACACAGGGGCCGCAUGGGGAUCGUGAUUUGUUUAGGGUUCAGGAGUUCGCAUCGAUGCUUUUAACUCAGGCAAACUGUGGGAAGGCCCAGAAGUUGGAUUGGGCCAGAAAAAAGUUCAAACUGGGCCGAAAUUUUUGGCCGGCAUAGAUAUUUACCGGGCCUAGGCGAGAUGACCGAAUUCGGCCGGAAAUUGUUUUUUUCGGCCGAAAAUCAAGACACAUUCUCCACGUCCGCCUCCUCUUUGGACUCCCAGAGGUCCUCUGUGAGUUGCCGGUGCAGGCCGGGCGGCGGCACCAUGGCGCCCGUGGAUGCACGCCGGGCGCCGUAGUCCGUGGUGCGCAUGUCAAGGACGGUCACGUUGCAGAGGAUGCACAAGCAGCCGUCCUUGAGGUGCUCCUCCUCGUCAAGGUCUUCGAUCUUCAUGAAGGCACCCCAGCCAAACGCGUCGUGGUUCGAGAAGUUGUUCGCCUGGGUCAGUGGGUCUCAGUCUCACUCUCACUCUCACCAUCGGUUUCAUCCGAUAAUUGGGCAUUACCCUUUGUCCACGAUGGGUUCCCGGCGUGGUCGAGGAUGCUCAUGCAGUAAUCAGCCGUGGCGUCACCGGUGCGGCCGUGGCUGGCGUGCUCGAGGUAAAGGGAGAUGUAGCCUCGAUAUCCUACUUCGCCCCUCGGGUAGCACUUGAUGCGCCAGUCGUGGCCGCCCGCGCCGAACGUGCCUGAUUUGAUCACCGUGCCAUUGCCGACCAUCUUCUGGAUGCGCUUGUACUGGUCGAUUCUGAACAGGUAGGAGCCCGUCACCGGCCUCGUGAUGAGGGUGCCAGCGGAGAGAUGGUGCCGGCCGGCGGCGCGGAGGGCAGAUACGAGCGCCGACAUCGACAUGAUUGAAAUAUCGAGGAGACGAUCGGCGCAGCUGCAGGUUGUCUAUGAUUGAUUGCAAAACGAUCCGGUGGGAUUUUAUCAGGGAUUUUGAAGUUGUUUUCCUUCUAAAGGAUAUCCAAUAUUAUGCAAAGAAACAGACUUGCUGAUCCAGCGGGAUUUUAUCGUUGUGUUCGUUUGGAUUUUUUAAAUCGCUUAUUAGUUUCCAAGUUUUUUUUGCUUUANNNNNNNNNNNNNNNNNNNNNNNNNNNNNNNNNNNNNNNNNNNNNNNNNNNNNNNNNNNNNNNNNNNNNNNNNNNNNNNNNNNNNNNNNNNNNNNNNNNNNNNNNNNNNNNNNNNNNNNNNNNNNNNNNNNNNNNNNNNNNNNNNNNNNNNNNNNNNNNNNNNNNNNNNNNNNNNNNNNNNNNNNNNNNNNNNNNNNNNNNNNNNNNNNNNNNNNNNNNNCCCCCUCCCGCCCCCUGUUUUUCCUCCUCAUCAUUCGUUAACCUCGCAUCCCUUUCCAUUGGUUCAGAUUUUGUUUCCUAAAUCCUGGUUAACUGAACCGUAACUUACGUCUGUCCGCCCACUUCUCCACCUUGUCCCGUUCCUGAUUAUUUUUGUUUACCAAAAUCUCUCCUUCCAUUCUCACUGAGCAUACUGAGGAAAGCAAACGCAUUGAUCACGUAUUAAUCCCACACACUCCACAUAUAUGGUCCGACUGAGAUUGAUUCCGUUGAUCGUCCCUUGCAUAUCAGGUGUUUCUAUAUCUUUAUCUUUAUCUUUUCUUUACCUAAUAGUAAAAGAGAAAGACUUUCAUAGUUCUUUAUCCGUCAUCUCUCUAUAUCCGUUAAUUUUGUGUUAACUUUACAGAUUGACGGCUGAGAUUUUAAAGUAAAUCAACACGAAAAAGGAUUCGCACUACCGAUCAUUAUCGCAUGCACGAGCGCACAAUCGUAGCAUUAGGCCUCUAUAGGAUUUUGAUAUGCCAACCGGUGUGUGGGCCUUAAAGCACGCGUCAUGUGCAGCCCAAAGCAAAUUUAUCUACCUUGACUGAAGAAAAUUGAUUUUAAAAAAAACACUGUAGAAAAGCCAUUGUACAUCAUCGGUUGUAAGAGUCCAAUUUUUUUACUACUCUUCACCCUCCUGAUAAGCAACGCAGAUCCCCUUGAAAAAUAAAUAAAGCGAUCUACAUAAAUAAUUUUCUUACAAAUCAUGGCAAGAACACGUACUGACUGGCGAAGGUCAGACGACAUCGAAGAGCUGCAAUACCGAUCGAUCACAUCAACGACACCGUGGCGACCGCGGGGUCACGUGCCUCAGCCUGUUCCGCUUCCUCGCUUCCAUGAUAGGCACCGUCAGGAACACAUCUAUACGCCCGAGGCGACCCGCCACCUCGACUCCCGCCCUGACCACGAGCUUGUCGAUUACUCCCUCGCCUUCCUCCGCACAACUGCCUAGGGUUUGCCAUCAGAGAUCUCACCGCAACCUGCCCCCUGAUGCCACCCCCAUACGCGGCGUCCAAGUGGGUCACGACCAGCUGCUGCUACCACUGCGUCAUCCCUCUCUCGCACCAUCACUAUGGUUCUGGAUUCGAGGUGACACUACUGCAUCCAACUAGGACGCGAGAUCAGGGUGGGCGCCGCUUAUUCUGAGGACACGGGACUCGCCAUAGCCAGCAAGUACGUGGGCAUUCUCGGGCACCACGGCUUUCAAGGAUGCAGGAGCCGCCUCAGCCAACAAGGACGCGUGAACCAUGCAGAGGUAAGCAGUUCUGCUUUAUCUAGACUACUCAGCCAGCCUUGAAAAACAUCUCUCUCUAAUUCCACUCUGGUUUGUACGCUGUAGCAAUUUUUUGCUCUCCUAUUUUGAUGUUGCACUAUAUGCAAUAAUAGGUUGUGUAAAUCUUUGAGGGUUAAAACUGCUCAUGGGAGAUGCCUCCGUGACCAAGCCUCACUGUAUGUCUUUUCCUACAAGCUAUUAGAUAUCAUUGUCACAGUAAUUGUGUACUUCUUUAUUAUUUAGAAAAGCACAAGGUUUUGCCUCUGUGGUCCUAAUUGAUCUGGUUUAAUUUUAGCGUAGUUCUCAGCAGUUAUCCUCAGAUGCAAGUUAAGCAAUUCGAAGCAGAUUCCUGCAGGUAAAUUUUCUUUUGGUUUAGCUUAUGCACGUGUGCUGUGGUACAUCUGGUAUGUUUAUGCUAUUAUUAAGGAACAUGGAUUACUUGCAUAGUGUAGAAUACGAGAAUAGGCUGUGCAACACGCAAUGCAUUGAUCGGUGCACCAGACACGUAUAUAUGAGUAUAGAGGGGGGCCACAACCUGGACUAGAUAGAGGAAAUAAGAGGUGGGCCCAAUACACAAUAUGCACGUACACAAUAUACUCAACACCCCCUGCAGUCGAAGCGGCGCCAGUGACGCAGAGACUGGAACGAAACUCCUCAAAGGUGGAAGUCGGUAGGCCCUUCGUCAUCACAUCGGCGAACUGGUGCAGUCGGAACAUGGAGAACCCGAAUACGUCCAAGGGCCACCUGCUCGCGCACAAAGUGAAUGUCCAGCUCAAUGUGUUUCGUCCAGCGAUGAUGAACGGGGUUGGCGGAGAGGUACACCGCAGAGACGUUGUCACAGUAGACAACCGUAGCCUGGGAGACAUCGUGAUGCAGCACGUGAAGUAACUGUCGUAGGCAGGUGCACUCGGCAACGGCAUUAGCCACAGCUCGGUACUCAGCCUCCGCGCUGGAGCGUGAAACCGUGGGCUAUCGCUUGGACGACCACGAGAUGAGUGAAGGACCGAGGUAAACGCAGUAGCUAGAGGUGGACCGACGGGUGUCGGGGCAGCCAGCCCAGUCCGCGUCGGAGUAGGCCACCAUCUCCAGAGAGGGGGACACCAUGAGGGUGAGCCCAAGGGUCAUCGUGUCGCGGAUCUGCUUCACGAGAGUCCAAUGGAAGUCACGAGGGGCGUGCAUGUGGAGGCACACCUGCUGAACAACAUACUGUAGAUCCGGUCGGGUGAGAGUCAGAUACUGAAGAGCACCGACAAUAGACCGGUAGAAGGGAGCAUCCGACGCUGGCGAGUGAGGGAGUCCCGGAUUAAGGGGUCCUCGGGCGUCUGGCCUAUUAGCCAUGGGCCGGAUUGAUGGGCUGUGAAGAUACGAAGACCGAAGACUGCACCCGUGUCCGGAUGGGACUCUCCUUGGCGUGGAAGGCAAGCUUGGCGACCGAAUAUGUAGAUUCCUUUCUUUGUAACCAACCUUGUGUAACCCUAGAUCCUCCCGGUGUCUAUAUAAACCGGAGGACUUAGUUCGGAAAGGCAGAUACUCAUUACCAUAGUCAUACAGGCUAGACUUCUAGGGUUUAGCCAUUACGAUCUCGUGGUAGAUCAACUCUUGUAAUACUCAUAUCCAUCAAGAUCAAUCAAGCAGGAAGUAGGGUAUUACCUCCAUAGAGAGGGCCCGAACCUGGGUAAACAUCGUGUCCCCUGUCUCCUGUUACCAUCGACCUUAGACGCACAGUUCGGGACCCCCUACCCGAGAUCCGCCGGUUUUGACACCGACAUUGGUGCUUUCAUUGAGAGUUCCACUAUGCCGUCGACAACAGGAUCGAUGACUCGCCUCGUCCUUAAAGACAACAUCACUACCGGAGGAGAACUGUCCCCAGGUCAAACCCUCCGGUUGGGCAGUUUUACCAUGAACGCCCGUUCGGCCGUUAAGCCGACGAUGACCUCUCGGGCCAUUGAAAAUCCUCGUCGUAUCGACCCCAAACACUCCAAGCAGAUGGAUCCGGCGGAGUUUUCGUCUUUAAACGAGUUCCUUGAUCGUAUCGCCGCCCUGGGAAUCGCCACAGAUUACGAUCGGAUCGGGCUCAAACCCAACCAAAGAGAAAUCAAAUCUCCACCGAUCACCCACCAGAUAGCGGUAGUCGAGGAGCAAGACGGCGAUUCUUCCCUUAUACUGAAGACGGACUACGUCUGGAUCGCCGACCCUACAGAGCCGGAUGCCUACCCGCAAAAGGAGGUGACCGGCCUUCCGAACAUAGAAUCGGAUGGUGGGCAAAAGCAACCAGAAGAUACUUCGGAGCCCGGACUGUUAAGUCCGGAAAAACUUCAGACUCCGGAUCAUCGAUCGGGUCAGGGUCCAGGUCCAAUUCCACCCACCCACCCAGACAUAAGCGCUCUCACGAGCAUACAACAGCAGUCUCAGGAAACAGUCCACCACUUCUGGGCCAGAUUCCUCCUUGUCAAGGACAAGGUUAAAGAUUGCCGUGACGAGGACGCGAUAUCAGCGUUCCGCAACAAUUGCACGAACGAAGGAAUCCUCAACGCCAUUAAUCGCCGCUGCAUACUACACUUCGCUGACUUGGAAACUAUCGUACAGAAGUACAGCGUAAUGGAAAGCGCUUGGAGGGAUCAGGCAGCUUGUUGGGAGCCACCGGUCCCAACUCAACCACUGGUCCAAGCGAAAAGGGCGCAUCCCCAUGACGCACCCAGUCCAAUAGCCAGGAAAUACAAACCCAUUACGCGGCACGGAACCGUUCUGGAGGGAUGGCCCAUGCAAAAUACACACAACACUGGAUACUAUACCAACCCACAGCCUUAGAGCAUGUUGGAUACUCCGGCAUGUACCCAAAAGCGGCGAGGACAUCCUUACCAAAAACACCCCAGAGCAACACCCUCCAGAAGACGACGACCCCAGAGUACUGACGGUCUUUGAGACAUUCGCUUCAAACAAUAAGCGCAAAAGGGCACUUCGCGGCCUCGCCAAAGUCUGUCAAAUCGCCACAGUAAACCCUUGGAACGACACGGCUAUAACCUUUAAUGCCGGCGACGAACCAAAAUACAGGACAGUCCGAGCACCAGCCGCUUUAGUCCUCAGUCCCAUCGUGGACGGCUUUCGACUAACCAAGGUCCUCAUGGACGGUGGCAGCAGACUAAACCUCAUCUAUGAGGAUAAACUCCACAAAAUGGAAAUAGAAAGGAGCCGCAUCAAGCAAAGCAGCACGACUUUCCGAGGAAUCAUUCCCAGUCGGGAGGCGCGGUGUGCGGGAAAAAUCACACUUGACGUGGUAUUCGGCACGCUGGAGAAUUAUCGGUCUGAAGAAAUCACCUUCCAAGUGGCUCCUUUCAGCAGCGGAUACCACGCCCUGUUGGGGCGGGAUGCUUUUACACGCUUCCAACUAUACCUCAUUACGGGUAUAUGAAGCUCAAAAUGCCCAGACCAAACGGCAUAAUCACUCUUGUCAGUGAUCCGGACAUAGCACUCAGCGCCGAAAACAAAACCGCAUCCCUGGCCCUUGAGGCAUUAUCUGAAGCCCUCGCGGCCGAAGAAUUAACCGCACUGCGCUCCACGGUGGAUAGGGACGAUUUGAUCUUAGACAAACGACCCAAAUCAACCUCCUUCAAACCGGCAGAAGAAAUAGUCAAAUUCUAGGUCCACCCAACGGACCCCAAUAAGAGAGCAUCUAUUGGAGCACAACUAGACCCAACGGUCGACGCCGCACUAAGGGAUUUCUUUCGUGAAAACUGGGAUAUAUUCGCCUGGCACCCUUCUGACAUGCCUGGAAUCCCACGUGAGCUGGCCGAACAUAGCCUUAAUAUCUUAAAGGGAUAGAAACCAAUCAAACAAGCACUGCGGCGCUUUUCCGAGCCCAAACGCCAAGCUAUGGGGGAGGAGCUGGCCAAGCUAAUCGAGGCCGGAUUCAUUAGAGAAAUAAAACAUCCGGACUGGUUGGCAAACCUGGUGAUGGUACCAAAGAAGGACAAAUCCUGGCGGUUGUGCGUCGAUUUUAAAGACCUCAACAAGGCUUGCCCUAAAGGAUCCCUUCCCCCUCCCCCACAUUGAUCAAAUCAUUGAUGCUACCGCAGGACACGACUCACUGUGUUUCCUUGAUGCAUAUUCCGGAUACCAUCAAAUUAAAAUGAAGGAGUCCGAUCAAGCUGCAACAGCAUUCAUUACCCCAUAUGGGCCAUUCUGCUUCAACACCAUGCCCUUCGGGCUCAAGAACGCCGGCGCCACAUACCAACACAUGAUUCAAACAUGCCUGGAGAAACAGAUCGGCAAGACAGUUGAAGCUUAUGUGGACGACAUCAUCAUCAAAACUAGGCGCGUCGAAACACUAAUAGACGAUUUACGUCUCACGUUUGAUAACCUCCGCGCGUACGACAUUAAGCUCAACCCGGAAAAGUGCGUUUUCGGCAUCCCCACUGGAAAACUGCUAGGCUUCAUCAUUUCCAAUAGAGGAAUUGAAGCAAAUCCUGCCAAAAUUCGAGCUCUGUCUCAAUUGGCUAUGCCAACGGACCUCAAACAAGUCCAAAAACUCGCGGGUUGCAUGGCAGCUUUAAGCCGCUUUAUCUCCAGAUUGGGAGAAAAGGCACUGCCACUCUAUCGCCUACUACGGCGAACCGAUCACUUCGAGUGGACGGACGCGGCAACAACUGGACUGGAGGAAAUAAAAACCCUUCUUGUGAGCAACCCAAUCCUGGCCGCACCAAACAUCGGUGAACCAAUGUUAUUAUACAUAUCAGCAACACAUUAGGUGGUGAGCGCCGUGCUCGUCGUUGAACGAGAACAGGACGGACACAAAUUCCCGCUUCAGAAGCUAGUACACUACGUAUCCACUGUCCUUACACCAUGCAAAUCCCGGUACCCCCAUUAUCAAAAGAUACCAUACGCGGUCUUCAUGGCAUCCCGAAAGCUCCGUCACUACUUCUAGGAGUGCUCGAUCACGGUGGCUUCCGAAGUACCGCUCAAUGACAUUAUAAACAACCGCGAUGCCACGGGACGGAUUGCCAAAUGGGCCAUUGAGCUCCUUCCAUUUGAUAUCACAUACAAACCACGUCGAGCUAUUAAAUCCCAAGUACUGGCUGACUUCAUCGCCGAAUGGACAGAGGCCGAACUCCCUAAAGAGUAAGACACAUAUUCCAAUUGGGUUAUGUAUUUCGAUGGCUCCAAAAUGCUGGCAGGGCUAGGGGCGGGCGUCGUUUUAACGUCACCUACUGGAGACGUCGUUCAGUACGUACUCCAAAUACUAUACACAGAGUCCAACAAUGCAGCCAAAUAUGAGGCCUUAUUGCAUGGUCUCCGGAUGGCUGUCUCCAUGGGCAUACAACGCCUAGAAGUGCGCGGGGACUCAAACCUUGCAAUAUCUCAAAUAAAUGGAGACUUCGACGCCAAAGAUCCGAAGAUGGCAGGUUAUCGUAAUGCCGUCAUAAAAAUGUCGGCCAGGUUCGAGGGGCUCGAGUUCCAUCAUGUGGCUCGAGAAAGUAAUCAAGCGGCGGACGUUCUUACUCGUAUCGGCGCUAAGCGCGACCCCGUCCCACCUAAUAUCUUUCUGGAAAGGCUUUUUAAGCCAUCCGUGGUGUGGCAGGGGGAAAACGGCAACACUAGUCCGGAUCCGAACAUAACCCCAGAUUCCGAAAACACCGACAUCAUCGGAGGCUCAGCCACCGAAAUAACACCAUCGGCGCAUCUCAUCAUGGCAUUCAUUGCCCCAUGGACUGAACUCUUCUUGGCCUUACCUUAACAGGAAGGAGCUUCCUGAGGACCAGAAUGAGGCCCGCCGCAUUGUCCGGCGUUCGAAGGCCUACAAGGUUCACGAUGGAGAGCUCUAUAAGAAAAGCGCUACCGGAGUCCUUCAAAGAUGUAUCUCCGAGGAGGAGGGGCGGCAACUCCUGGCUGAGAUUCAUGCAGGUCUUAGCGGGCACCACGCCGCAGCUCGGGCCCUUGUUAGCAAGGCCUUCGGAACAGGGUUCUAUUGGCCGACGACCCUAGCGAAUGCAAAGGACUUUGUCCAACGUUGCGUUGGAUGCCAACUCUUCGCCAACCAAAGCCAUAUGCCCCCCACCGCCCUACAAACAAUCCCCAUCACUUGGCCUUUUGCGGUCUGGGGACUGGAUAUGGUUGGACCCCUUAAAGGAGGAAGCCAUAAGAAAAAAUAUUUGCUAGUCAUGGUGGAUAAAUUCACCAAGUGGAUAGAGGCCAAACCAGUUAAAACGGCUGAGUCCGGGCCAGUAAUAGACUUUAUAUCCGGUGUCGUACACCGUUAUGGUGUUCCGCACAGCAUCAUCAUUGAUAACGGCUCCAAUUUCACAGCCGACGAAGUGAAAACCUGGUGCGCUAAUUUGGGCAUCAAGCUCGAUUACGCCUCUAUCUAUCAUCCAAAGACAAACGGCCAAGUCGAACGAGCCAAUGGUCUUAUUAUGAGCGGCAUUAAGCCUAGCCUAGUGCGGUCUUUGAAGGAAUCAGACAAGCACUGGGUUGAGGAGCUCGACUCCGUACUCUGGGGCCGCGAACCACUCCCAAUCACACUACCGGAUACACAACUUUUUUCAUGGUGUAUGGCGCAGAGGCAGUACUACCCUGCGACUUUAUUCAUGACUCACCUCGAGUGCGCAUAUACGAAGAGAGAGAGGCCGCGCUCGAUCGGCAGGACAGCUUAGACGCCCUGAAGGAGGAGCGCAACGUCGCAAAAUCCCGUUCCGCAUUUUAUCAACAACAGGCUCGCAGGUAUCAAAGCAGAGAAGUGCAGGCCAAAACUUACAACGUCGGCGAACUCGUUCUACGCCUACCGAAGAAGAAAAAGGACAAACUCAAGCCCAAAUGGGAGGGUCCCUUCAUCAUCGACGAAGUUCUCACCGGAGGAGCGUACCGCUUGCGUGAUGCGUCAGACAAUCGACUAGAGCCGAAUCCCUGGAACGCGGCCAGACUCCGAAGAUUCUAUGCCUAGCGCCGAACUCUUUGUUCGUCUCCUUCCUCUUAUUGUUUUCAUCAUUUUUUCUCUCUUUUCGUUUUUUUCUCUUUAGCCUUAAAGGCUUUCAUGCGGAUUAGACCGUGCUCCCCCGACGCAUACAUCUUCAAGUAUGCACGUCUAUCAUACCUGGGGGCUUCUUGGAUAGAAGCUUGCUAUUUCUAUUUUCUGAGCAUAAAGCUCAUCACAUAUGCGUUUUCUCCCAUAUGUACCUUUUCUUUGCCAUUAUAUGCAUCAAUAUGACUUAAGUUUUGGUCAAGCUGGGUUGCCUGGCUCCUUUGCUUAUGCCCUACGUUCCCGUUAGUUCGGCUAGGGCAUAAAGGGAGCACCUCUGCGAUUGUUACUGCCGGGUCAUCCGGAUGUGUACCUCAGACGGGGUGAAGCCGAAAGCUAGCAUUAUUAAGGGAAUAUUCGGUCGGUGAACUAUAGAUGUUUUUGCACUCGCUCCAUUAUAAACCCCCAGAAGUUAUACACACUGUGAUUUUUUUCAUCACAUUCCGGACAUGCACAUAGAUGCAUGCACACCAAGGGAAAGGAACCCUUAACGAAACUAUUCUCUCUGGAAGAUGUUUCUUACAAUCUUAAUGUAAUAUAACAUAACUAGCCGGAUACUUGUCUGUUCAAGCAGCUAUGACCCCUACGCUUGGUUUCCAUGCAUACCCGGUCUACUCGGCCGUUCUGGUAUUCAGAAACACUCCGCACCCUCGAGUCGAGAGGUUGAAGCGAAAAGGUCCGCCAUGACAAGCGUUUUACACUUCAGCUAGAGUUACAGAUACAAAGGAAAGUAAAUAGUCACUUGGACUCAAAACCUUCCUCCUCUAUGUCGUCCAGCAGGCUGUCGAACUUACAAUCCUGCUGGGAAUACUUGGCGGCUACUUCUACUUGGCCAUAUACUAAACUAACGGGAAUUUCUUCCGCAUUUGACCCUAGCGGUCCGACCCGGGCCAUGUGAUUCGGAUCCAGCUUGGUAUAUCGUGUUUUUACCAUGGCCCAGGCCUCUCGCGCACCCUCUCAGCAGGCCGAUAUCUUCCAUAGUCGGAUACGCCGCCGCGCUCCCUUGAACAACUCUACAAGCUUCUCCAUACUCCCUAGAGGGGAGUCGGAUGGCCAUAAGGCCUUGGUUACACUCCGCAUUGCCUGCCGAGCUUGCUCGUGCAACCGCGACAUCCCUUGCAGAAGAUCACUUGAUGAUCCGGACACCUCCUCUUCGGGACUUCCCGUCAGCAUACCUGCAAUCAUAGCUAUAUCAGCUACUUUUACCUCCAAACUGUUAUAAGGUCAAUUCGGCCACAUACUGAAUAUACCGCCUUGCAGCCUUUUGUUCUCCUUCACAGAGUCGGCUAGCUGGGCUCGUACAUCUUUCAGUUCUUCGCCCAGUUUGGUGUUUGAAUCUUGGAUUUUGUCUUUCUCCUCCCUGACUUUGGUCAGGACGCGCUCGUCUGCGGCACGUUGUCUCUUCGCCUCUCUUUCGCUCGUCUGCGCGUCCUUCAGUUCCUCUUCUAGUUGGUCCGAUGACCCUGUUAUGAGACAAGCAGCAGUUUUAAUAUAGCUGGCACAUCAUUUUUUGUUUCUCGAUGGAGGGAAAUAUUACCAGAGGACGCCUUCUUGGAUUUCUCCAGUUCGGCGAUCACUGCGUUUAACUACGUCCGACACUUUUCUAGCUCUUGGGCUAGCCGUCGUUCUUCUCCGAUAGAACAUGGUCAUGCAGCGAUCCUCAAAUCAGUUGUCCCAACUACUUUAAGUCUCGGGGGCUACUGGCAUACGGUUAUUAUACUGAUACACAGUAAACUUACCUGCACAUCUUUUAAAUGCUGCUUUGUGGCUCUGCUAAGCCCAUCUCGAGCAGCUCGGAUGUAUGCAUCAGCCGAGCUGAAGGCAUUAAACGCCUCUUCUAAAAAGCGGUGGUCUCGUAAAAUGGCCCUCUGGCGCUGAUGAUUCAUGGCGCUCUCCACUUCCGAGUUGGUAACAGACAUAUUUUCUGAGCCCUCGGCCGAAGGACAGUCCGGCGUCACUCCCAUAUCGGCCCCCGUCCCCUCGGCUAAGACUGGAUCCUGGCUGUUGGGAGUAUUACUGACCGGACCCACGGACAAAGUCCGGUGGACCUUUUUCCUGAUACAGGACAAACAUGAAAGUCACGGUUGGACGCGACUAUUAAGAUAACGCAUUUGCAAACCCAUACCUCUUUGACGAGGGCCCGACCGUGUCUUCGUUUGCCUUCCUCUUCGAAGGCUUGCCCGGUGCGGGAGCCUCUCUCUUCGGAGUCGCUCCUCGAGUAGCACGGUAUGUAGAACGCCUCCCCUUCGAAGCAUGAGAUAGUGCGGUGGGCGAGGCGGAACGAGGGAGCCCUUUCGGGGGAGAUGUCUCCUGACUACUUACGUGUGAAGUAGGGAGAAGACCAGGGUAAUCGGCGAUGAUGGGCACUUCGGUGCCAUCGUAGCUCACCUGAUAAAACACGCCAUUCUCGAGCACCACGAAUAUAUCCGGAUCCUCUUCGAAUCUAGGGUCAAGGUCCCGAUUGUGGCCCUCGGGCUGCGGGGCGGGGCUGUGAAGCCCCUCGGAAAUCUUUCGCGAAUGCUGUUACAAAUGAACGGAUUAAUAUUCAUUAAAGCAAAGCUCAGGGAGUGGGUAAGUAGAGCAGAAGAGUUGGGAGCUUACCCAGCUAGGAGGACUGUACAUGCAUGGAAUAUCCUUCUCUAUGCGUGAUGCGCAGGAACUCCUCUUCCUCACCCUUGUACAGCUCGGCCAAUAUUUUGGGCAGGGCGCCAGGGGUGUCCGGACCUUUCCUGCCGCAGCAGGAGGCGUCAUCUUCCCCAUUGUACUUCCACAUGGGAAUUCCUCUAUAUUGAAGUGGCUGGACCCCCCCGCACUAUGGAGGUCGCCAUCACUUCGACUAUUGUGUAUCCGGACUGGGCAAGCGUCCUAAUCUUGCUCAGGAGCUGGCACACUUCCGCACUAUCUUCCUCCUUGAGGCUCCGAAGGCGCCAGCUAUGGUGUUUCUUCAGAGGAACACUUGCAAACUCGGGUAAACCCCUCCGGACUGGAUCUGGAAGUACCACGUCCUCGAUAUAAAACCAUUCAGAGGUCCACUCUUCGGGAGCUUUCUUCGGCGUGCCGGACAGGUAUCCGGUCUCAGCAAUACGCCAUAUUUCGGCUCCGCCCACUUCAAAAAUCGACCCCUCGUGGUUGCGCGGGACAAGACAAAAUAACCUUUUCCAUAGAUCAAAAUGGGCCUCACAUCCCAGGAAUUGUUCGCAUAAGGCGACGUAGCCUGCGAUAUGCAGGAUGGAGGCUGGGGUAAAAUUGUGCAGCUGAAGGCCAUAUAUCCAGAAGCCCUCGGAGGAAUGGUGAAUUGGAAGUCUCACGCCCCUUAGCAAAUAAGAGACAAGGCACACUCGUUCCCCCGCAGAUGGAUUGGGGAAAUCCUCCGCCUGGGUUUUGCCAUUGAAGGAGGCCGAACCCGCUCGAACAGGGACCAGAUCUGCAGGAGGGAGAAAUCCCUGCAUUUGCAACUUCUCCAAUUGAAUGUGGGACACAGAGCACCUCUCCCACUCGGCUUUCUCUGGGUCGGAACGGGAGGAGGAGCUGGGAAUAUUAGCCAUAUUAGAACUUUCUUUCCUCGCAAUCUCUGAGGAUUUUCUCCGCGUGGUGUCGAAUGGAUCUGAGACCCAAUCUCUUUAAAUAGACGCUCUUUCUUGCAUGGCCGGGGAGUUAUUUGCAAAAAAUACCCUGACCGUCCGCAUUCGCCCGACACGUGGAGGCUGAAGUCAUAGUUGCAUAGAAGCCGAGGGGUGCGGCAUUGGAUUAUAAGCCGAAUACAUUACUUGGAAGUCGUCGGAAGAGGAACCCGCCUUGCAAUGCCGAAGACAAUCUGCGCGCCGAACAUCUUGGCAUCGAAGCCUGGUUCGGGGGCUACUGAGGGAGUCCCGGAUUAAGGGGUCCUCGGGCGUCCGGCCUAUUAGCCAUGGGCCGGACUGAUGGGCUGUGAAGAUACGAAGGCCGAAGACUGCACCCGUGUCCGGAUGGGACUCUCCUUGGCGUGGAAGGCAAGCUUGGCGACCGAAUAUGUAGAUUCCUUUCUUUGUAACCGACCUUGUGUAACCCUAGUUCCUCCCGGUGUCUAUAUAAACUGGAGGACUUAGUCCGGAAAGGCAGAUACUCAUUACCAUAGUCAUACAGGCUAGACUUCUAGGGUUUAGCCAUUACGAUCUCGUGGUAGAUCAACUCUUGUAAUACUCAUAUCCAUCAAGAUCAAUCAAGCAGGAAGUAGGGUAUUACCUCCAUAGAGAGGGCCCGAACCUGGGUAAACAUUGUGUCCCCUGUCUCCUAUUACCAUCAACCUUAGACGCACAGUUCGGGACCCCCUACCCGAGAUCCGCCGGUUUUGACAUCGACAGCGAGCCCUCAAGAGCAGAAACCUUGGCCUUCGUGUCAACAGGAGUGGCAAUAGGAUGACAGUUGAGCAUGCCAGCAUGCUCAAGGAGCUUGUGCGCAUACUUCUGCUGAUGAAGGAAGAAGCCAUCCGGUCGCCGAACAACCUCAAUGCCAAGAAAGUAAUGCAGAGCACCCAAGUCCUUGAUGGCAAACUCGUCACGCAGCCGGAGAGUAAUCUGCUGAAGAAGGGCUGCGGAGGAGGCCGUGAGGAUAAUGUCGUUGACGUAGAGGAGUAAAUAUGCAGUCGUGUUGCCCUGGCGAUAAACAAACAGUGAGGCAUCCGAGCGAGUGACGCUAAAGCCCAGUGUUUGAAGAAACCCGGCGAUCCGCUGGUACCAGGCGCGAGGUGCUUUCUUGAGCCCGUAGAGAGACCGGGAUAGCAAACACACGUGGCCAGGAAGAGAUGCGUCGACGAAACUAGUGGGCUGCUCACAAUACGCAUGCUCCUCAAGAUGGCCGUGGAGGAAGGCGUUGGAGACAUCCAUCCGAUGAACGGGCCAGCCUCGGGACACCGCAAGCUGGAGGACGGUGCGGAUCGUGCCCGGUUUAACAACCGGGGCAAACAUCUCAGUGAACUCAACUCCAGCGCGCUGUCGAAAACCACGAACCACCCAACGAGCCUUGUAGCGCUCAAGUGUACCAUCCGAGCGGGUCUUGUGGCGAAAGACCCACUUGCCGGUGAUGACAUUGGCGCGAGGAGGCCGGGGAACCAGUGUCUAGGUGCGGUUCCGCUGGAGAGCGUCGAACUCUUCCUGCAUCACGACAAGCCAGUGAGGAUCACGAAGGGCUGCGCGAGCGGACACAAGAAGAGGGGACGGCUCCGCGGUGGAGGCGGUGAGGAGGUACUCGUCGCUUGAGUACCGUAAACUCGGACGGUGAAUACCAGCUUGAGCCCGUGUGACAGGGCGAGACGGCAACGCCGGAAUGUCCGGCGAUGCGGCUGGCGAAACGGCCGGCGUGAUAGCCGGCGAGACGACCGGCGACGGGGCCGGCAUGACAGCUGGCGACGGGGCCGGCGAGGCGGCCGGUGACGCGGCAGGCAUGACGGCCGGCGAGACCUCCGCCGAGACGGCCGGAGACGCGUCGCCAGAUCCCGCGGCAUCCGUGGCGCCCAAGGAGGGGGCGGCGGGUGGAGGCCGAGGAUGCCGAUGAGUCGGGCGUUGAUGUGGGGGCGCGAGGCGCAGCUCGUCCCAUGGUGCGAGGACCGUCUAAACCCGGAGGCAGUCCGAGAGCCGAGCAGGGCCGUCCACCUGACAGAGUCGCCGAAGGGCCGCCGGUGGCCGGCGGCAAAGGGGCGACGAGAGGUACCUGCUGCUGAAACGGAAACACCUUCUCAUCAAAGUAAACGUGUCGGGAGGUGAAAGCACGAUGGGAGACGGGAUCGUAGCAGCGAUAGCCCUUAGUGUGAGGUGGGUAGCCGAGAAAGAUGCAGGCGACGGAGCGAGGUGCAAGCUUAUGAGGCGCAGUGGCGGCGAUGCUAGGGUAGCAGAGACAACCGAAGAUGCGAAGCUCAUCAUAAGAAGGUGGUGCACCGAAGAGAAGGUGAUGAGGUGCAAAGUUCCUGCGAGUGCGACAAGGAUGGAUGUUGAUGAGACGUGAUGCAGUGGCGAGAGAGUCAGGCCAAAAGCGCGGAGGCACAUUGGCGUGAAAGAGGAGAGUCCGAACGCAGUCGUUAAGUGUGCCAAGGACACGCUCAGCGCGACCGUUCUGCUGCGAAGUGUACGGGCAAGUGAGACGAAAAGUCAUGCCAUGUGUGGUGAGAAGAGUACGAACAACAAGAUUGUCGAACUCCUUCCCGUUAUCUGUCUGGAACGCAAGAAUGGGACGACCAAACUGCGUGAGAACGUAAGAGUAGAAGGCGGCAAGAGUGGAUAUAACAUCCGACUUGCGACGCAACGAGAAGGUCCACACAUAAUGCGAGAAAUCAUGAAGUAUGACAAGAUAAUAAAGAUAGCCCGUAUUACUUGCAAAAGGAGAGGUCCAAACAUCACUAUGAAUUAACUCAAACGGGUACGAUGCAACAUGAGAAGAUGCCCUAAAUGGAAGACAAGCAUGUUUGCCGAGGCGACAUGCAUGACACGAGUGAUCCUCGUUCUUAUUACACGUGAAAGAAAAACUCUGAAGUAUAUGACAAAGGGUGGCAUGAUUGGGAUGACCCAAGCGAGCGUGCCAAAGAUCCACUCCGGUGGCGAGAGCGACAGGGGCGGCGGAGGUGGUGGAGGUGGCGGAGUUAACCGGAUAGAGUUCGUCGGGGCUGUCACAUCGGUGGAGUACCAUCCGGGUGCGAGCGUCCUUAACAGAAAAACCACAUUCGUCAAAUUCAACGGUAACAGGAUUUUCACGUGUAAGAGAACGAACAGAAACAAGAUUUUUAAUAAGCUCAGGAGAAACUAAUACAUUAGACAUGAAUAUUGGAGCAGAAUUAGAUGGAAAAUAUGCAUGACCUAUGUGAGUGAUAGGAAGAGAGGAGCCAUCACCGACGGUGAUGCGAGCGGAAGUGUGGAUGGGAUAGGAGGUGUGGAGGUUACCAGGAUAAGCGGCCAUAUGCGCGGUAGCUUCGGUGUCCAUAUACCAGUCGCCGCCGCCGGUGUAGCUGGACGGUGAAGGGGCGGUGUGAAGAGCCGCCAGAAGAGCCGGGUCCCAUGGCGCCAGCGGAAGAGGCAGCGGCGGGGCCGUCAGGGGCAGCAGCGGUAGCCCGCCUAGCUGCGGCUACUGGCCGUAGGAGAGAGGCCCAUAGGGCGCCGCAUAGGGCUGUGGCGCGGCGUAGAACGCCUGAUGCGACGGUGGCCGGGCGCCGAGAAUACCCGGGACAGGGGCACGGGGAACCGGCAUGGAGUAGGCGUGCACAACGCCGGUCCAUGGGUUCUAGCCGGCUUACCACGGGGCCGGCUGGUAGGCCUCCUGCGGCGGGCGGGGUGCUCCUCCUUGAGCGCUUGCGCCCCCUGCAUGCGGCCGCCGCGACGGCUGCCGCGACGACCCCUCAUUGGCCACCGGCUGGGGCGGCGGGAAGGGAGCGGCCGGGGCGGGCGGGAAAGCAGGCGCCGCCGGCUGGGGUGGCAUCGGGCGUGGAGGUGGCGGGGCUUGGCCCCCGUGGGUGCCGGCGACGAGGGCAGUGUGGGUCGCCUAAGUCCGUGCCAUCCUCAUCCGGCGCUCCUCCAGCUUGAGGUACGCCACCACCUUAGCGAAAGUGGGCUCCGGGAUGAGGGUGAGGUUGGAGGCGGCGUUUCCAAAAUCCUCGUUGAGACCGGCGGUGAGGGUGCUGAUGAGGAGCUCGUCGCCAACCGUCUCCCCGAGAUCGCGGAGCUCAUUGGCAAGAUUUUUCAGGCGCAUGCAAAAAUCAUCGAUGGACGAGUCAAGCUGCUGGCACCCGUAAAACUCGCCGUGGUGAAGGACCUUGCGCUGCAACUUGUUGUCGGUGAAGAGGCCGUUGAGCUUGGUCCAGACGGCGUAGGCAUCAUCGCCAUCAUCCACCAUGGUGUGGAAGAGGUCGGUGGAGAUGGUGAGAUAGAACAAGUGGAUGAUGGUGGCGUCGAGGACGAUCCACUCCUUGUCAUGGAUCAUGAGAGCCGAAUCCACGGUGCCGUCGAUGUGGCCAUGAAGGAGGUACUCGCGGAACACCAGCUAAAAAUACCGCUUCCAAGCGGAGUAGGAGGCGGUGGAUUGAUCAAGCUUCACCAGGACGCGCUCGUGGAUGUUGAGGUCGCGGACGAGAGUGACAUCGGGACCGGAAAACGGGUUGGAGACAGUGGAGGAGGAACUCAUGGCUAGGGUUAGGGUGUGCGACACAUGGUGCGACGCGAGGGGAAGGUGCGGCGUGGCAGCGGCGCGGGGUGGAGUUGCGGGGCUGCGGCGCGCGUAGCGAGUGGAGCUAGCGAUCCAGCGGCGGCGUGCGGAUGUUGGUGCUGGCCAGGAAAAAGAAAAAAUGGGCAGCGGGCGUGCAUGGCGAUUGGAGGUAGGCGGCGGCAGCACCGAGCGCAAGAAGCAGCAGAGACCAGUGGUGGGAUCGGGAGGCUGCGGCGGAGUGCGGGCUAGCAGGCGGGAUCGGGAGAAGCGAACGCGGCUAGCGGGGAGGUGGAGUGCGCGGGCGGGAUCGGGAGAUCACGGGCGGCGGUUAGCAGGGAGGUGCCGCGGCGGCGGCUACCAGAGGGGCGCGGCGGCGGACUAGGUUUAGGAUCGGGAAGGGAAAACUAAUACCAUGUAGAAUACAAGAAUAGGCUGUGCAACACGCAAUUCAUUGAUCGGUGCACCAGGCACGUAUAUACGUGUACAGAGGGGGGCCACAACCUCGACUAGACAGAUGAAAUAAGAGGUGGGCCCAAUACACAAUAUACAUGUUCACAAUAUACUCAACACAUACUUACAUUAUUUUUGAUUCACCCAAGCUAGCCCUAAUCGUACCAUUGCUCUCUGCAUGCUGAAAAGGUUCGAUGAAAUGCUGGAGGUGUUGGUAUUGAAUUGACUGAAUUAUAGUUGCAGAAAAUAUUUAUGAACGGAUCAAGACGAAAACAUGUCACCAUUAGCUCACACCACGAUUUUUCAGGGUUGCAGAUGUCAUGAACGACCCCCUUGAGAGAGUCCUAGACUAAGGGGUCCUCGGGCGACCGGCCUGUUAGCCAUGGGCCGGACAGAUGGGUUGUAAAGAUACGAAGACCAAGACUGCACCCGUGUCCGGAUGGGACUCCUUGGCGUGGAAGGAAAUCUUGGCGACCGAAUAUGUAGAUUCCUUUGUUUGUAACCGACCUUGCGUAACCCUAGAUCCUCCCGGUGUCUAUAUAAACGGGAGGACUUAGUCCGGAGGGAGAUUCAUUACCAUAGUCAUACAAGCGAGACCUCUAUGGUUUAGCCAGUACGAUCUCGUGGUAGAUCAACUCUUCUAAUACUCAUAUUCAU